rnacentral:lncRNA from 1 species
GUUCAAGUAACUCAGGCUGGGAUGCUGAUAGCAGCUGGCAGGUGCUAUCGUGCCUUACAGCUUAAAAAAAAACAGCCAAGAACUCAUGGAUAAUUUGUGGGACCAGUGAAUAAUUUAAGGGACAUCGCAGAACAGGUUGGAUCUGGUUUUGUUCCAGCCAGAAGAUGAUGGUCAACCUCAAGCAGAUCAGCAAAAUAAGAUUAGAAGAGUUGAAGUAAACCAUCUCAUUGCCCCUGGCUGAAGACCAUACUUGAAUGGGGUCAUUUCAGUUUGUGGCUCAGGUGAGACUAUACAUAGCAUGUGUGCAUACAACUAUGGGCAUGACUCAGCCAUGUCAAUAUUUUUUUUUUUUUAAGUCCCAUCGAUUUCCAUUGCAGAGUUAAGGAUGUGCUUAAAUUCUACUAAGGGAUGUGUGUGGCGCUGUGGCCUAAACCACCAAGCCUCUUGGGCUUGCAAUCAAAAGGUCAGUGGUUCGUAUCGCCAUGAUGAGAUGAGCUCCUGUUGCUCUGUCCCAGCUUCUGCCAACCUAGCAGUUCGAAAGCAUACCAGUGCAAGUAGAUAAAUAGGUACUGCUGUGACGGGAAGGUAAAUGGCGUUUCCGUGCACUCUGGCACUUGUCAUGGUGUUCUGUUGUGCCAGAAACGGUUUAGUCAUGCUGGCCACAUGACCCGGAAAGCUGUCUGUGGACAAACGCUGGCUCCCUCAGUCUGAAAAGUGAGAUGAGCGCCGCAACCCCAUAGUCACCUUUGACUGGAUUUAAGCGUCCAGGGGUCCUUUACCUUUUACUUUUAAAUUCUGCUUUAAAUCAGUAGCACGUAAAAUGAUUAGUAAGGGCCAAUUUACUACUGAGUAACAGUGUGAUGAGAGCAUUGGUUCAGGCACUCCUGCGGAAUCUGUCACACAGCGAAAACUGUACACUGAAAUUGCAAUUCAAUUCAGAAUUUGUCAGUGUGUAACCAGUUUUGGGAGGUUGGGAGAAGGGAUGCAGAGAUCUGUUCUUUUUGGUUUCUCUCGAUUUUUCAUUCCCUAUAUCUUCAGUUAGCUACAUUUCUACAUCAGUUUGCAAUAAUAAAAAUUAAAAACUCAUUGGGGAAAAUUACCAGGAUUUUAGUGAGCGUUUAUCCUAAUGUACACAUAUUUAAUGCGAUUUUGCCAAUAUACAUAUUUUUGAAGCAAUUUCCCCUAAUGUAAUGCACUUUUGUAUGUUAUUUUCAUUAAAAUGUGAAUUCAUAUAUGCAAUAUACCGGUAUGUUGGCAGUCAUAUGUCGUGAGACACUCUUCUAGUAGAGAUUCAGCCAGGCACCAUUACAGUGGUACCUCGGGAUAAGUACUUAAUUUGUCUGUACUGAAACUGUUCUUAACCUGAGGUACCACUUUAGCUAAUGGGCUUGCUUCGCUAAGACUGCUAGCCGACGACUCGCCGGAGCACUAAUUUCUGUUCUCAUCCUGAAGCAAUAGUUCUUAACCUGAGGUACGUAUUUCCAGCAGUUACGCUGAUGUCAUGUAACCUUGAAUGUCAUUUCAUGUAAACUGUGAAGUCGUAUAUGUAACACAUGAUGGUAGCCACUGUACUUGUGAUUUCCAGGUGUCUUUUGAAGAGCUUUUCUUAUGCCAAGAGGCCUAUGCAGUUACAUACAAUCUUCUUGAAUAGCUAAUCCCUCUAAUGAUUGAACUAUACUGCUUUGAAUGGUUUUUAACUCUUUUUAUUGCUGUAUACUGCCCUGAUAUUUUAAGAGAGGGUGGUAUGUAAAUACUUCAUUUGCCUAUUAAAUGCACGCUUCCUCCUAAUAUACACAAUUUUGUACACAUUGUUUCUUGGGAGAAAUGCAUAGGGAAAUUUGGAGAAGUCCAGAUUUUGAAGGAUAGCUGUGUUUUGAUUUCAUGUAUUGUCUGGGAUUAGUUAGGUUCACACUGAAAUGCCUACUUCACCUAAUUCUCUCCCUUCCCUCCCUGUUAAAGGUAAAGGGACACCUGAACAUUAGGUCCAGUCGUGACCAACUCUGGGGUUGCGGCGCUCAUCUCGCUCUAUAGGCCGAGGGAGCCGGCAUACAGCUUCUGGUCAUGUGGCCAGCAUGACUAAGCCGCUUCUGGCGAACCAGAGCAGCGCACGGAAACGCCGUUUACCUUCCCGUUGGAGUGGUACCUAUUUAUCUACUUGCACUUUGACGUGCUUUCGAACCACUAGGUUGGCAGGAACAGGGACCGAGCAAUGGGAGCUCACCCCGUCGCCCCUCCCUGUUAGGCAGUGGUAAAUAUCAGCUAAGUUUUGCACUGGGUUCUAAUGGAAGAAAUCGCUCCAUGUCUUGCUAUGUUCUCCUUAAAUUUAUACUCUUUAUAUAUGUGGGUGAGCAGGGAAACCCUACAUGAUCAUUAUUAAUUUCUUAUAAUGGUAAAUUGUAUUCCCUUUCCAUUUGAUUAGUUGCUUUCCCCCCAACCGUUCUGUUAAGUAGGUUAGGCUGAGAGAGAUUGAGUUGCCCAGGGCUGCUUGUUGGGCUUCAAAGAUGCCAAAGGAAUCAAAACAGGAUUUCCCCAAACCUAAGUACAAUAUUUGAGCCACCAUACUACAUCCAGAGUUAAGUUCUCAGUCUUUCCUUGAAAUUAUUGGCAUUUGAACGCCAAACGUCCUUUGGAUCAUGGCCUCAGCCUAGUAGGGCUGGAUCUGACAUUUCUAUAAAAAUAAUGAUAAAAAGUAGGUACUACUUUACAGCAUCCCCUUGGAGUUUAACCUGAGCUGUGCAAUUUUCACGUCGGGAGUAUCUGCAUGUGAUAAGCAGUAUUCAUCACAAACUCAUUCAAGGGCAAAAUGUUGUCAUUUAUAGCAAUUCACUUUAGCUGAAGCUCAGAGAGCUGCAGGGAAUUGCAGAAGAAUUCUGUUCCAGGAAUUUGACAGAGUACUAUGGGAUAACCACAGAGAUCAACAGUGAUUUGAGGAUGAGUCAGAUGAGAGUGCCGAAAGGCUUCACAAAUGUUUAUUAUUAUUAUUAUUGUUGUUGUAAAAUAAUCUCUUAGGUCAGCUCAAAUUCUAAGCCAGAAAUAUUUCCAACUUUGCAAGAGAGUUCAUGGCAGAUGGAAGCAGGUCAGGAGGAGGAUAUAGAAUGUGCCGGCUGCUUCCUCUAAUUUAAAUGUCAUAAAAUAGGAUAUUUAGCCUAUCCAGGGCUGGUCUAAGACACCUUCUUCCUGAGGCAAAGGACAAGAUGGUGCCCUGCUCCUAUUCCACAUUCAGAAGCUGACUGGGUAGGCAGGUUUUACUUCAGCACUGGUGACAAGAUAGCAUCUGAAGGCAGCAGGUAGUUUAUAGGCUCCAGGAGAGACUACAUGGCACAUGAAACUCUGUCCUCCAAGAGGCAAAUGGCUGGAAUCUGCUGCCUCUGGCCACUGUCAUUUGCUGCCUGAGGCAAUUUCCUCACUUUACUUAAUGGUAGGACUGGACCCUGGCCUUUACACAAAGUAGAUGUGAAAGGAAAACUUACCGCAGUAGCUGCAGCCCCAUAAACAAUUCCGUUUUUCUAGUGAUGGCCAUGACAGUUCAGGUGAAGCCCUAAGCAUAGGACGUGACCUCCAUGGAAAGGAGCAAUGUAAAGAAAAGUACAAUCAGAGUGGAGGAUAUGGUGACAUUGCUUGGAUCACAUCCAGUACAAUAAACUGUCUGAAAACCUGUGUGCACCUGACACAAGUUAUGAAAUAUACUCUGUGACAGGUGCCUAGAGCAAUCUUUGCUGAAGCUCGGGUGAGUUAAUACUCACGUGCCAUAUCUUUGAUGGUGUCUGAGGAGAUCUAUGGUUCUAGUCCAGCUGCUGCUGAUAUUUUUUUUUGUUAGUUGUUUAGUAGUGUUACUGAACUGAUUUUACUAGCUAUGGGCUUCCAAUUGCACCUUUCUUCAUUGUAUUAGCCUACCUCUCGGUUCCCCUCCCAGCUAUCAGGAACUUGAAUUCUAAGGAACUCUGAAUUCUAUGUGUCAGAUGGCAGUGGUGGUUGCUCGUGAGUAACCAGUCAGGGCUCCGACCUGUCUUUCACAGGUUUUUAUUUUGGUGCAAAACUAUUUACAGUGCAGAACCACAAGUUCAUGUCUGCCUCAAUCGCUACCAGAAUCUGGGAGUGGUCGUUUCCGGGUCCUCCCCCAACAUAAGAGCUUAGUCACCCCCAGCCUUUUCCUUCCUUCUUUGCGUUUUACACCUCUGUGCAGGGUGGGCAAUGGAAGAGGCGUGCUUCCCUCCUGGCCAGCUUGACCAGGAGUGGUGCUGAGGCUCCCAGCAGCAUCCUCUGGUCCCUUCUCCUCUUCCCCACUGGGGGUGUGGCUUUCCCCACCACAGGAAGAGGAACUGCUUCACAAGAUUUUCGGAGGUUCCCUGUAACCCAACUGCCCCUCAGCUUUCCUUCCCUGUUCCGAUGGCAGUCCCCUGGCACUAUGCAAUGCCUGCAGUUGUAAGACAGAUCUUAGCUUAGUAGGACCAUGCAAAUAUGAGAGCUCCAAGAGAGAAGCUCACAACUGCUUUGCUGCUCUCAAAUAAUUUUCACUGCCACCCUGUGCUAAGCCAAGGCAAGGUUUGGCUUGGCGUAGGUCUGAUACCAUCCAUUGGUAUUAUUUUGGCCAUCCCUACACAGUGUGGUUUCUUAAGCUGGAUAAAAGGAUGGUUUUGCUCAAAAAUGGGAGUUAUGGAGAAGAUUGAUGUUGCAAAGUAGGGAACAGGCUAAAUGAAAAUAAUUAGGCUAAAUAAAUAUAAAGACAAAAGAAUUUUGCCUGAAUAAAUGUCCUACUAGCUUUGAACACUCCUGACAUACUAAAUUUUGUGGUAGGUAUGAUCGUUAUAACUUCCUCCAAAACCUUGUGUUUUUCUGCUAGUGAUCAGGUAUGUUUGUAGUUAUGAUAACGUAAGCAGCUCUUUAAUUCUAAGAUAUUACUUGUUUUACUAUGACUGUAUUUUGAUGGGAGAUUUUGAAAGGCAUGGACUGUAAUUCAGGGCUGGGGAACUUUUUGCUCUGUAGAUGUUGUGGGAGUUCAUCAUCCAUAAAGCAGCAUGCCCAAUGUAGGGCUGCCAUAUGUCUGGAAUUUCCUGGACAUAGCCGGUAUUUGGCAGUCGUAAACACAGAAGCGUAGGAAGGGGGGUGCGGGGGGUGCGGACCGCCUCAGGUGUCAUCGCUGAGGGGGGUGACAUUUGGCGCGCCACCCACCCAUGACUCCCAAGCCUACCCUGAGCUGUUGGGGGAAGGGAGUUGCACCGCUUUGCCUUCAUUUUGACAGCUUGGGUGGGCGGCGUUUCCAGGGGUGACAUUCGGCGUGCCACCCACCCGCGACUCCCAAGCCUACCCCGAUCCCAUCAAUGUGAGGGGCGGGUGACAAAAAUUUUCUGCACUAGGUACCACCUGACCUUGCUAAGCCUCUGCGUAAACAGUGUCUAGGCGGAAAUCACAGAAAUGUCCUGGAAAAUCUUGAUGUAUUGCAACAGCUCAAAACCUUCACUUUUGUUUUUGAGAUUUUGCAAAAAAGCUCAACAACUUUUGUGUUUGGACUUUCACAACAUCUAGAGGGCCACGUAUUCUACAUUCCUGCUGUAAAUGGUAGACAUCUAUUUAUAUACAUUAAGUGCUACUUAUUAUGAUCAAACCAUGUACUGAUGUGUAGCAUUGUGACAAAGUCUUCCCUGUCCUUUUCGAAGUCUAAAAUAUAACAAAAUAACACAAAAAGUUGCAAUGAGCGCAACUUGCAUUGCAGCCAAAUGGUAUCGAUUGUACUUAAAGUACUCGGUGUCAGAGCUCCUGUUGGACAAACUGUACCUAUAAUUCAGAUGACAAAUAAUAUAAUAACACUGUAGGCAAAACAAAUUAUAAUGGGAAGAAUAUAUAAAAAGUUAAUUUAAAGUCACUCAUAAUUCCAGUAAUGAUUUCACCCACAGUGUUAACUUGCAGAAUGAAUGGCCAAUUGAAGUUAAUGGCCUCCAGCUCUCUUGCAUUUGCUCAUUAAUCUUUUGCAAGUCAAUGGGCUUUGGGUGACUCAAUAUAUGGGCACAGUUUGGUUCAAUACUCACUGUUCCUUUGGGCUAGCAGGGUGACAGAAGCUGGGCAAGACUAUGGCAUGCCUUAUCAGCGCUCCAUAAAUAAUACAUGUUGGUGCAAGGGAGCCAUGAAAGGUAAAUAAAAUUAAAGUUUGUCUGCUUUGGAUAAUUAAAGAUCUCGGAUACUUUGCAAAUGGAGUGGGAUUAUUGGACUGUGCCCCCAGGAGCAUGCUAAUGUACUCUAGAUGCCAUUGCAUUUGUCAGGAAUCUUUAGCUGAACCUGGUAAGUGAUUCUUCUGCUAGUGUUUCCCAGAGUUUCAUAGGUGUUCCUCUACCUGAUUCUUAUUCUUGUAGCCCUGACCUUUGAGCCAGAAGCUUUUGGAACGUUCUGUGCUUGCAGGUGAUUGACUGAAAAGCAUGGCGGUAGAUGAGGACGGAUAGCUAUCACUGUGUGUGUGUGUGUGUGUGUGUACAGUGGUACCUCAGGUUACAUACGCUUCAGGUUACACACACUUCAGGUUACAGACUCCCCUAACCCAGAAAUAGUGCUUCAGGUUAAGAACUUUGCUUCAGGACGAGAACAGAUAUCAUGCUCCAGCGGCGCGGCGGCAGAGGGAGGCCCCAUUAGUUAAAGUGGUGCUUCAGGUUAAGAUCAGUUUCAGGUUAAGUACGGACCUCCGGAACGAAUUAAGUACUUAACCUGAGGUACCACUGUGUGUGUGUGUAUGUGUAUGUGUGUAUACACACACACACACACACACACUUUUUUUUUUCUUUUUCAUUCAUUACAUACAUCUCAAAUUCUUAACAUUUACUAUAUAUUCCUCCCUCCCUCCCCUCCAGGGCUUCCCCCAACUUCCGCUUCUGGUUUGUUUCUAUUUUCACCCAGUUUGCUCUCUCUUAACAGAAACAGUUAUUAAUAACAUAACUUCAAGCCUAAAGUCAUAAAAAUAACAGUAAAUACACCAUCAUAUUUCACUAUCUUCUAAACAUUUUCUAAUGCUAAUAAUGUGAAUGUUUAUUUAAAUCCCACCAUCAAAUCUAUUGACUUUCUUUGUUUCUGCAAAUAUAAUAUGAAUGGUUCCCAAUCUUUUUCAAAGUCUCUGUUGUCUUUUUCUCUUAGUCUGUCUGUCAUUUUUGCCAGUUCUGCGUAGUUCAUCAACUUCUCUUGCCAUUGUUCUUUAGUUGGUAUUUCUCCAGUAUAUCAGUAUAAAUGGCUGGAGGUUACCUGGCAGCUCCUCCCAGGAUUGAUUCAAAGUUUUUUUUUUUUCUUUUUCUGCUAUCCUAGACUAGUGACUUUCAGACUUUUCACCCUCAAGGAAUACUUUCCACCUAAGCUUGUCCACCAUGGAAAUAUUGUGUGUCUGCUAUUGUCAGAGAAUUUUGGGGUUCUCUUGCUCUCUCUGUUUAUAUGGGUUGCUGGUUUAGGAUUGCUGGCCCUCACUGGUGCCUGUGCAAACUUCAAAGGUUGUCUAGAACAAGUCCAACAACACUCCUUUUCCACAACACGUCACUGGAAAUGGAUGGCAAUGGCAGACAAGUCAUUCUUGGAAAAUGUAUAGUUGUUGUUGAUAGAACUGAUCAGGGAAGUUGCAAAACACCAAUACCACCACAAAAAAACCCAAUGCACACAUUUCCAGCUUUUCUAAACUCUGGAGUUGAUUGCCCAGCUUCAAAUAGGCUGCCUCAUUCCAGGUACAUAAAGAUUCACUAGUGAUUUCCCUUCUCUUUGGUGCCUGUCUUUUGAAGAGAUCGCUUCAAGCAAAGAGCCCUCAUUAACUGUGCAGUAUGUACAGAAAGUUCUGCUGAAAGGGCUAACAUUCCUUACAGAUCUGAAGUAAUUUUUACCACUACAGAAGCUGUAAAAGAGAGGAGGAAAAUAAUAAUAAUAAAGCUCUUUCAUUUUUAGAUCUACUCAUGAGCAACGAGUGCCUCCAGAAAGUUGGUGUGUAUGUGUGUUUUAACGAUUUACACCCACCGUGUCAAGCCAGUCCUAUCACAUUUUUCUUCUGGCUCCAGGAUGGGGGAACCUAUUUCAGUUAGUGGGCUGUCUGGGAUAAGCUUUUUUGAGGUGAUGGGCUCACAUGCUGGUAGCUGGUGGUGCCAGAGGCAAAACUGAUGUAGAUGUUGCCUUUGUACACUAGGGGGUAAUCCUAUGGCAAGAUCUGCAGGGGUGAGCUGCUUAGGAUCCAAUGGAUCUCUGCUCCAUCCCCAGCUUGGCUCAGCUAAAGAUUCCCUGGUGUAACUUGCUCAUUCCAGCCGGUGCAAAUCCGCCCCCCCAGUGAGUGUUCUUGUUGGAGCGUUGUGGGUAUCAAGGAGUUAACACUGUGCUAAGUGGAAAUGCUGACUCAGUGAUGAGUGAGCAUCAUGAGAUAUAGGGAGUUGCCUGAUUGGUCUAUAGCCAGUUAGUAUAAAGAGGUAUGCCUCACUUCCCCUACACUGGCUUCUCCUCUGUAUGCAAAUCCCAGUUGUGUAUGCUGAUUCCUAGAUGUAAGAAGACUGCUUUAUGAUGAUGCAAGGCUGCAACUGGAAUAAAGUCCUGCUUAAAAUACAGUUGACUCCUCAGUGCUUCAUGUGGGGCUUCCAUGCAUUGCAACAGUUCUGAGGGCAGGACCAGAGAGCGGGACACAGGCUGUAUCCUAAGCCCAUUCAGGUUGGUUGCAUGACCUGGCAACCUGGCCAGAAGGAGGAAAACAAGCAUUUCAAAGACCUGUUUGGACCUGAUGUAACUUCACGCCAGCUUAAUUUUCCAAUUGCUUACUUUAUGCCAGCCUCAUAUGUAUAGGAUUGCUCCCUAGGCUAGUUUCUACGAGUAAGAGUUAUUAUCAGAGUUCAAGGACAUGGUCCAGCCAGACAAAAACACUCAGUUCUUGCUCUUAUGUUAUUUUAAGACCUCCUGUACCAUUCAUGUCUGAUUUCAAUAAGCUUGAGAUGAAACCCUUAGUAUCGCUACUAUAGCGUUUCACCAAACCUUCAAAUUCUGAAAGUGGACAUGUUGCUGCUUAUCAAAUAUCAAAGUCCACGUUAGCGAUGGCACAUGUAUAUCUUCUAGUAACCAUUAACGUUUAUCCUCCAGUAUGAGAACAUUAUCUACAUAAAAACAAUAUAAAUAAUACAUCCCCUUAGUCCUCUGCCCUCUUAGGAAGCCAAGACUGGUAUAAGAGGGCUUUGAAUGAAAAGUUGGAAGUGACCUUACAGUGACAGAAGUGGUGAAUGAGGAUUCUGUGAUACGAUAGUUGCAAGCAUGAAAAGCAUAGCCAUGUGAUUCUACCGUCAUCAGCACCAGAUGAGAAACUAAACAUUAGUUAGAAGUUAGAAGUUAGACUGCAAGGAGGGGGUGGGGAUGGUGACGAUCAUUUCCUUGGGGUCCUACAAAGAGUGAAAAGCUUUUAUAUGAGCCUAAGAACAAGCUUUCCUCCCUAAGUUUUAAUGAGAUGGUUUUCUUUUAAGAGCAGACUCUGCUGCUUGCAUUUAAAUGUGAGACCUGCUACUGCAUUAGCCUGGAAAAUUGAUUGGUAGCAUUGAGAUGAAAAACUCCCUAAAAAUCUAAUACUAUGCAAGAGGGCUUGAUUAGUUUGUGCACGACCAUCUACAACAAACACAGAAGAUACGAUCAUAAAUUAUGAAUGCACCAAAUCCACCCAACCGCUCUACAAUUACACAUAAUAAUCUCAUUUUUGUGCAAGCCACUAUGUUUUAAAAAUGAAUCUCUUAUUCCCUUCACUCCCCACCACUAAAUUUUGCAGGAGCAGUGUGUGGAUUCAGUUUGUUUGCCCAACGGAAAUUCCAUUUAGGGCUGAGGCUUGAUGGAUGUGGAAGGAUCAAUAGACAAACAGUACCACGUAAAUCAGCAAAAGCAACAGAGACUUGUGGCACCUUAAAAACUGACAAAUUUAUUACAGCCUAAGCUUUUGUGGACUCAGGCCCACUUCAUCCAACGCUCAAAGUGACGGCGUCGUUGGCAGGUGUAUAAAGGAUACAGUUGUAAGGUUGGAGUGAUAAAAAUCCUUUGUCUUGAUUCAGCCCACUAGUGAUAAUCUUGAUAAUCUUGAUCGAUUAUUAUACAUCUGUUUCAUGUUAUAAUUUUUCUUUGUAGUUCCUUUCUUCCAGUAUGGGCACCUUAAAGUCAGUUUCAGAGUAUCUUAUUAUAUAACUGCAUUGUAUUAGGGGAAGUUGCUUGUGAAAAUACGUAUAGACAAAAUUUCAUACAAAAAAAAUGUGUGCAUGAGGUGAAAUGCACCUGAAGAUUUGUACAAAUUUUCAUUUGGACAUGUUUUUUUAAAACAAAAAGAACUUGAUGUGGAAAUGGAGAGAACCGUACUCAGGAGUGGAAAAAUGAGAAACUGGGAGAAGCCGAAAGAGUUUCAUUUGUCCAUCCCUACUUGAUGAAUCUUUGGUGUGAUCCAUUGAGAGAGUACUGUGGCAUUACACAGUUUAGGUUUGGCUUGUUAUAUGCAUCUGACCUGUGAUGUAGUUUGUGAGCAACUUGUUUCUCUAUGGAUUAAAGAUACUAUUUAUUCAAGACUGAGAAGGUGAUCAGGCUUUAAAAACCCUUUAACAUUAGCAGAAUGGUAGAUUAAGGUGGUGGUGAUCUGUAUUAUUUAUGGCCAUUCAGAGGGUUCAUAAAUCUUGAUGUACCUGGCACUUGCUAUAAAAAUUGGCAUACAUGUAAACAGACACGGAUUAUUUGCCUGCCACAAAGUCCUGAGCAAAGUCAUCAGAAACUCCACAGAUGCUGGUGCAUUGCCAUUUAUAUAUAGCUCCCUUUUCUAUCUGAAAGCACCCAGCACAGAAUACAAUAUAAAACAGUGCCAGUAGCUGACAGUACAAAUAAAGAAAGAAAUCGAAAAAUAAAAGUGUAUAACUCUGAAUAAGUAUUAUUGAAGGACCUCAUUUUUUUUAAAAAAAUAAUGUUUAUUAAAUUUUAAGGAGUUACAAAAAGAAAAAAUUAAAGAACAGCAUAUUAAAGAAAUACAAAACACCACAUCACAAUAAUAAAAAAAGAAAAAAGAAAAGAAAAAAAGAAAAAGAAAAAGAAAAAAGAAAAAUACAAUGAAUCUUCCCAUAACUUAUCUUUCAUUUGCUUAUUUCCUUGACCUCCUCACACCUCCCUUUUUGUAUUCUAGUUCAAUUAGCUAUUUCAGCAAAUCCUUUCCAUCUUUUCCAGUUUUUGUCCUCUAUUUUAUCUUAAUAUAAUGUAACUUUACUUUCCCUCCCUCACCAUUUAGCAAUCUAUUUUUUCUUAAUCCUUUAUAGCAUUUCUGCUAAAACCGCAUUAUUUCAUUCCAACAUCCUUCUAACAUUCCUUAAUUUUACAAUGUUUCUGUAAAUAAACUUUAAAUUUCUUCCAAUCUUCUUCCACCAACUCUUCUCCCUGGUCUCAGAUUCUGCCAGUCAUUUCCGCCAGUUCCAUGUAGUCGAUCACCUUCAUCUGCCAUUCUUCCCGGGUGGGUAGAUCUUGUGUCUUCCAAUACUUCAUGAUGAGUAUUCUUGCUGCUGUUGUGGCAUACAUAAAAAAAGUUCUAUCCUUUUUUGGCACCAAUUGGCUGACCAUGCCCAGGAGAAAGGCCUCUGGUUUCUUCAGAAAGGUAUAUUUAAAUACCUUUUUCAUUUCAUUAUAAAUCAUCUCCCAGAAUGUCUUAAUCCUUGGGCACGUCCACCAAAGGUGAAAAAAUGUGCCUUCAGUCUCUUUACAUUUCCAACAUUUAUUAUCGGGCAAGUGGUAUAUUUUUGCAAGCUUGACUGGUGUCAUGUACCACCUAUAAAUCAUUUUCAUUAUAUUCUCUCUUAGGGCAUUACAUGCCGUAAACUUCAUACCUGUGGUCCAUAACUGUUCCCAGUCAGCCAUCAUAAUAUUAUGUCCUACAUCUUGUGCCCAUUUAAUCAUAGUUGAUUUCACCGUUUCAUCCUGAGUAUUCCAUUUCAACAGCAAGUUAUACAUUCUUGACAAGUUCUUAGUUUUGGGAUCUAACAGUUCUGUUUCCAGUUUUGAUUUUUCCACCUGGAAGCCAAUUUUUUUUAUCCAAAUUGUACGCCUCCAUUAUUUGGUAAUAAUGGAGCCAAUCUCGCACUCUAUUUUUUAGUUUUUCAAAACUCUGCAAUUUUAAUCUGUCUCCCUCUUGUUCCAAAAUUUCCCAAUAUUUCGGCCAAUUGGCCUCCAUAUUGAGCUUUUUCUAAGCCUUCGCUUCCAUUGGUGACAGCCACCUUGGGGUUUUAUUUUCAAACAAGUCCUUAUAUCUUAUCCAGACAUUAAACAGUGCUUUUCUGACAAUAUGGUUUUUAAACGCUUUAUGUGCUUUAAUCUUAUCAUACCACAAAUAUGCAUGCCACCCAAAUACGUUGUUAAAACCUUCUAGGUCCAACACGUCAGUAUUUUCAAGAAGCAGCCAUUCUCUCAGCCAGCAAAACGCGGCCGAUUCAUAAUAAAGUUUAAGGUCUGGCAGGGCAAAUCCACCUCUUUCUUUAGCAUCGGUUAAUAUCUUAAAUUUUAUUCGAGGCUUCUUGCCCUGCCAGACAAAUCUAGAAAUAUCUCUCUGCCACUUCUUGAAACAAUCCAUUUUAUCCAAAAUUUGCGAUGUUUGGAACAGAAACAGCAUCCUUGGCAGUACAUUCAUUUUUAUCGCAGCAAUUCGGCCAAGCAAUGAUAACUUCAGAUUUGACCAUAUUUCUAAAUCCCUUUUCACUUCCAACCAGCAUUUUUCAUAGUUAUCUUUAAAUAAAUUCACAUUUUUGGCAGUCAUAUUGACCCCUAGGUAUUUCACUUUCUUGACCAAUGUUAAUCCUGUCUCCUUCUGAAACCUCUCUCUUUCAAUCUCUGUUAGAUUUUUCUCUAGAACCUUAGUUUUCAUCUUAUUCAGCUUAAAACCCGCAACCUGACCAAAUUCUUGAAUCAGUUCCAAUACUCUUUUGGUACUAGAUUCUGGCUCCUGUAAUGUCAGUACCAAAUCAUCGGCAAAUGCUUUCAAUUUGUACUGUUUAGCUCUGACUUGUAUACCUUUAACCAUUUGGUCCCUUCUAAUUAUGUUUAAGAGAACCUCCAAGACGGAUAUAAAAAGCAAUGGGGAGAUUGGGCAGCCUUGUCGUGUUCCUUUCUCUAUCUUAAAUUCUUCCGUCACUACAUUAUUUACAGUUAAUUUAGCCUUUUGUUCUGAAUAAAUUGCACCUAUACCAUUUCCAAAACCUUGGCCAAUCCCCAUCCCCUGUAAAUUCUUCAUCAUGAAACUCCAGGAAAUAUUGUCAAAGGCUUUCUCCGCGUCCACAAAUAUCAAAACUGCUUUAGUGUUAAUAUUCACUUGUAGUUUUUCUAAAAUAUUAAUUAUAUUCCUCGUAUUGUCAGACAAGUGUCUGCCCGGGAGAAAGCCCAUUUGAUCUUUAUGAAUUUUUUCUACUAGUACCUUUUUUAAUCUUUUAGCCAAAAUGUCUGCAAAGAUUUUAUAAUCCACAUUAAGCAAAGAUAUGGGGCGGUAAUUCUUAAGCUGUGUCUUCUUGGACUCUGUUUUCGGUAUAAGUGUGAUGUAUGCUUCCUUCCACGACUCUGGUGCCCUUUUCCCUUCCAAUAUUUCAUUACAAACUUCUUUUAAUGGCUGUACUAGCCAUUCUUUCAGAGAUCUAUAAUAUCUUGAAGUCAAACCGUCCGGUCCUGGAGAUUUACCCAAUUGCAUAUUCUGGAUGGCCCCUUCUACCUCCUGCUCCGUUAUUUUGUUGUUCAACAUUAGUUUGUUUUCUUGAGAGAUUUUUUGUAGUCCCUUUGUUUUCAAAAAUCGGUCAAUGUCCAUUUCUUUCUGUGUCUCCUGUGUAUAUAAUUGUUUAAAGUACCUCUGAAAACACUUUCUGAUCUCCACUGGAUUCUGUAUAUUUUUCCCUUCCACUUCCAAAUUUGUAAUGGUAUUAAGUUUUUGUCUUUUUUCAUUUGCCAAGCCAGCAGUUUCCCACAUUUAUUUGCCGAUUCAAAUGUCUUUUGUCUCAUCUGUUUAAUUUUCCAUUCUAUUUCCUGGUUCAUCAUUUUCAUAUAUUGUACUUGAUAUAACUUUAUCUCUUUCAAGAUCUCCUGCGACUUUGGUUUCACUCUCAAUUUUUUCUCUCCUUCCUUUAUUUUCUCCAAAAUCUUAUCUUUUUUCUCAUUUUGAACUCUCUUCUUAAUUGCAUUCUGUUGUAUCAAAAAUCCUCUCAUAACCGCUUUACUUGCGUCCCAGAUUACUCUUUUUUUGGUAGUGGUAUUCAUAUUAAUCUCAAAAUAAUCUCUCAAUGUUUUUUGGGCCUUCUUAGUCACUUCUUUGUUCCUAAACAAAGUGUCAUUCAUCCUCCAUCUAAAGGAACCAGUUGGUAUUAGUUUCAUUUCCAUCUUCACAGCAUUAUGAUCGGAGUAAGUUUUAGGGCAAAUUUCCACUUUUCUAAUCUUCGGAGCCAACCCUCUAGUUACCCAAAUUUGGUCAAUUCUUGUCCAUGUCAUUUUGGCCUCAGAGAAGAAAGUUCCCUCUCUUCCCAAAGGGUUCUUCAUUCUCCAAAUGUCAACUAAAUCCAUAUUGUCAGUCAUAUCAAAAAAAGUUUUUGGUAGUCUACCAUCCUUGGUAACUACCUGUCUCAAUGCCUUGUCCAUAUUUGUAGACAUCACUCCAUUCAUGUCCCCCAUCAAAAUCAUAUUGUAAUCCAUAUAGUCCAUCAGAGUCUCGUGUAACUUCUUGUAGAACUCUGAUUUUCCCUCAUUUGGUGCAUAAAUACCUACUAUCAAAAAUUUCUCUCCUUGCGAUUGAAUUUCAAUUGCAACAAAUCUUCCUUGGUCAUCUUUAAAUAUAUAUUGAAGGACCUCAAAUCGCAGCAUCAUCUCUCCCAAACUGAAAAUCAGUGUCUAUAAGCACAAAAUAUGUGACUUCAAAAACAUUCCUCCUUCGGAUCAAGUGUAGUGGCUUCUGUACAUGAAGUAUCAGAAUGUAGAAACAAUGUGAAUAGUGUGGUCUUUGACCACUAGACUCUCCCAGAGCAGCUUUAAUCUUUAAAAGCUUUUCUUUGUAAUGAUGAAUGAUAGACACUCACUCCUGUCAAACUCUUAGGUUUUUCUAGGGAGUGUCAGGAAACCGGUGGAUGCCCCAGAUAUAAUAUUCUUUGGACUGUCGUUCAGAGGUGAAAACUGAGCACGGCACUUGAUUCUAUUUCUCAUAUCUACAAAGAGGGUGACAUUUCCAUGUCUAACAGGGGCAAGAGCAUGACAGAAACGUUGAUACCAAUCAAGCAUUUGUUUGCACGCAACUAUUAUGCCGGAUUGUAUGGUUAUAGGACAUCUGUUAGUGUGCACUGUCAUAAAAGAGGCUGAAUGAUCAAUAUACAAUUUUCACAGAGGGCCUCUUUAUAAUUCUAUGUAAUUAGGGGCAGAUGCAUCUUCUUUAAAUGCUGACAACAGUUUGCCAUUUUUAUAUUAUUCUGUGAAACAUAAAUAAACGACGGACUUUAAUUCAAGGAUUAGGGAAUCUAGUAAUAAUUAAUAAUUAUAAUACUAAUAAUUUGGGGGCAGGCAGGAGGGGUAUAUGUAGGGAAGCCUCAUAGACAAGUCAUAAUCCUAAUGGAUGUAAUUGGAGCAUUCCUUUGCAUAGCAGAAUUGGUAAACAAAUAGGAGUCGAUGGCAGAGAAUAGUGCUGCAUUGUGCAGGGGGUAAGACUGAAUACUAAAGCAGAGCUCUGAUAUAGCUUCAACAACAGUGAACCUUAGACUGAGCCCUAUAUUUGAGCAGCAGUUCAGCUGUCACCUUAUUCUCCUGUGCGAAUGAACGGAGCUUUCUCAGUUUCUGUCCCACCUCCUUCCAUGCUAAGUGAGACAUUUUGUACUGUCUCAGUCUGAUGCUCAAAUAAAUGGAAAGAGAGGACUGGAGGCAAUUGUUUUGCAACAUUCAUGGGGGGACCCAAUUUUCCUUUGGUGGCAGCUGAAGGAUGGGACUGCUGGGCCAAACACCACAUAUCCAUAGCCACUGAACUCUCAGAAAGGGUCAGAGGCUCAGCUAAUGUUUACAAUGGAUUUGUGGAAUGUCAGAUAGGCUGGUAAUUCCCUGGAAGAUGAAUUGCGACUAGUCGGUGCUGUCUCAGCAUGCAAUACUAGCAUGGUUCUUUAAUUUAAAAAAAUAGUAUUUUGGAAUAUUGCUGGCCUUUGUAAUAACUAGAUUGACCUUAGCUGUAGAAAAAUCUACUUCCAGUUUGACUUAAGUUAUCUGGUAAAGAAUGUGAUCGGGCAAAGAAGAGAUGGAGGCACUUUUUUACUGUAGGCUCUAAUUCCUUUUGGAAGGGAAAAACAAUAAAGAAUGCUCUCUCUCUCUCUCUCUCUCUCUCUCUUAGCUCUAAGGCUUAAUUCAUAGAAAUAGUUGAUGAAGUGUGUAUUCCUUAACUGUGCCUCUUGAGAAUGCAAGUGGAAGGCUGCAUGGCUGAACACUCCUUUGUAAAAAAGAAAAGCCCACAAUCCGUGCAUAUAGACAACUAGAUGUAACGGAAAAAGUACACCCUAGCUUUCUUCCUGUUGUGCUGAUUUGCUUAUGAAUGGAUUUCCCCCACUGAGAAGCACCCGAUGAUAUGGCACCCACCUCAAUACCUGUUGCCUUAGUCCAUGAAGAGUAUUAUCUGCUGUUUGUGUGAAUUAGGUUUUCAAUUUCGGUUUCUCUCAGUUUCUCAUUUCCCCUGGCUUAGGUUCAGCUCUCAACAUUUCCACAUUGUUCCUUUUUUAAGUCCUUGUGAAUAUCCACCAGGAUUUUAGUGCGAAUUUCUCCAAAUUGUGUGCAGUUUUGCUCAUACAUGCAGAAUUGGUGUAAUAGGAUUCCAGACAGAAACAGGACAAAGCUCUGGCAGCAACAUUUUGCAUUAGCUGCAACUACUGGGACACCAAGGGUAGCCCCACAAAGAGUUCAUUGCCGUAUUCUAAUCUUGAAGUUACAAUGGCAUGGAUCACUUUGGCAAGGAUAUCUCAGUCUAGGAACAAAAUCUCAAGCGGAAGGCUGGGAGAGAGACUUGCCUGAGAUGUUGGGGGGCUGCUGUUAGACUUUACAUUACUGAUAGGAUGGACUAAUCCCCAAAUCAAUAAUAGAAAAGGGAAAGGAAUAGGAAUAGUACCACUCCAUUCUGCCUUGGUCACACACCUGGAAUACUGUGUCCAAUUCUCGGCACCGCAAUUUAAGAAGGAUGUCAACAAGCUGGAAUGUGUGCAGAGGAAGGCAAACAAGAUAAUCAAGGGACUGGAAACUCAGCCUUAUGAGGAGUGCUUGAAGGAGCUGGGUGUGUUUAGCCUGGAAAAGAGGAAACUGAGCGGACAUAUGAUAGCCAUCUUCAAAUAUCUUAAGGACUGUAUACAUGCUUGUUUUCUCCUGCUCUGGAGGGUAGGACUCGAAACAAUGGCUUCAAGUUACAAGAAAGGAGAUUCUGACUAAACAUUCGAAAAAACUUUCUGACAGUAAGAGCUGUUUGACAGUGGAAUAGACUCCCUCAGGAGGUUGUAGACUUUCCUUCCUUGGAGGUUUUUAAGCAGAGGUUGGAUGGCCAUCUGUCAUGGACGCUUUAGCUGAGAUUCCUGCAUUGCAGGGGGUUGGACUAGAUGACCCUUGGGUUCCUUCUGACUCUAUGAUUACAUCACCAAAUUUUUCUACACAUCUUUGGCUAUUCUUCUUGACAAAGCUGGCCAGCUGAGCUUUUUCUCACACCUUCUCUAGACUGCUGCAUUUGGUAUGUUUGCUCCAAUUCCCAGAAAAGAAGAGGGGUUUUGAUGUGCCAAGAAGCAUAUGUCAUGAGCUGCGCAUCUAGCUCUCUCUUGUGAACCAUAACAGAGAACGCACCAGCAUCUAUAAUGGUAGCGCUGAGGUUGUGGGAGAGGUGUUUAUCUUGGUUGGUGCAUCUACUGAAAAACUCUCUGAGCAAGCAAGUUCGCCUGUAGACUUGUGUAUCUGCUGCUGGUGGUGGAAAAGAAAUCACACAUUUCCCCCUCACUGCUCUGCUUAUGUGUUAACUCGUGUCCCAUAAUCUCCUUUAAAAGUUACAAUGCCUCCAGUAUUUCUACAAAAAAAUAAUCUAGUGAUACAUUGGCUGCAUGAAGCGUUCCAAUGAAGAAUGCUUUAUCUGCCUUUCUAUUGGAGCCAGGCUGAUUCUUGUUAUAGAUAGUGCAUUAUUUUAGACAUUUUAUGUAUUUUCCUGGCUGCAAAGUUACCUUGGUUGCUGCAUUUCCCACAUGCUAAUAAGCACUGUGAAAACCAAACAUUCCUUCCAACACUUCAUGCCUUAUCCAGCCUCCUAUGUUUUCUUCUUCUAACACUUUUUGCCUUCUGGCGUGUUUCAUUUUGGGACGUCCCCCCCCCCUUUCUCUCUGGUAUCCCUGAAAUUCUGUCCAUGGCCACCGGUUUAUUUUGUUUUCUUUUUGGCAGUUUGUUACUCCAGAAGCUUCUGAAAAUUUCCCCCCUCUCCAAGGUGAGCUCAGGAUAUUUCAACCAUAUUUUCUUAAGCACAGCAUCCCUGAUACCAACCAACUACAAUCUGGCCUCUAAUCAUAUACUCUUGUCAGCUCUCUAUAAUUGUAAGUCUGACUCAGCUCCUUGAGGUGAGUCACAAACUCCAACUCUGCUUUCAACUUUCUCCUAUGAAAGUUAUACCUUUCAGAAGUCUUAUUUCUUUCUGGAAUGCAGGAUUAUAAACUUUUUUGCCUUCGUUUUUCGGUGGAAUCACUACGCUGCAGCCCCCUCCCCCUUCCUGAAAACUGCAGAUUGUUAGAUACAGUGAAGGCCUCCUGUUCUGCAAUAUUAAAAAACUAGAUAUCCAGGGCAGGCCCACCCUUGGAGCAAGGUGAGGCAACUACAUCAGGCAGCAGGAUCAACAGAGACAGCAGGUGUGGCCUCCGAAGAAUGGAGCACCCACUGCUGCUGUAGUGUGCUCCUUAGGGGCUAGAUCUGCCUCCUCCUUGGUGGUAUGGGAUGCGGGUGGCGCUGUGGUCUAAACCACUGAGCCUCUUGGGCUUGCCAAUCAGAAGGUUGGUGCUUUGAAUCCCUGUGACAGGGUGAGCUCCCAUUGCUCUGUGCCAGCUCCUGCCAACCUAGCAGUUCGAAAGCAAACCAGUGCAAGUAGAUAAAUAGGUACCACUGUGGUGGGUAGGUAAACAGCGUUUCCGUGUGCUCUGGUUUCCGUCACAGUGUUCCAUUGUGCCAGAAGUGGUUUAGUCAUGCUGGCCACAUGACCCGGAAAGCUGUCUGUGGACAAACGCCGGCUCCCUCGGCCUGAAAGCAAGAUGAGCGCCGCUACUGAAUAGUUGCCUUUGACUGGACUUAAGCCUCCAGGGGUCCUUUACCUUUACCUUUUUACCUUUACCCUCCUCGGCGGUCCCCCGUGGCCACUUCAACAGUGGCAUCUUGGUGAACAGGAGGUGCUGCCAGUCUCCUCCCACCCUUGUUCCCAACGUAGAUCUUUAUUCCUCACUCCUUUACUGGUGUGCAUGUGUGGCAUUUUGCGGUUCGCCUCGGGUGCCAAAAUAUAUUGGGCCGGCCGUGUGGAUAUCUUUUGUGAGACUUAUGUCCCUGCACUUCUUCCAGUCAGCAUCUGGAGUAUGAAGGGUUGUAUAAAUUGCUUGCACAGCUGUACUACUACGGGAUUAACGGCAGAGCAUUCUGCACGAACUCUAAGGGGCUCCAUUUCUUCAAAUCAGCUCUCUUGUCAGCUGAGUACUGGUUACCAUGCUUUGAAAUAUAGUGUGCAAAAGAUCCCCAAAGGGGAGGGGGAAUGUAUUCAGUUAAAAGGGUUUGUGUGUGCGUGUUAGAGCGACUAACGUGCACCUAAAAACAAGCUGACACCAACCACUCCUCCAUAUUAACAAAUUCCCAGUUCCCCCGGGGAAUCCCAAGUAGAUUCAUCAUUGUCAGGCCGGAUGUAAGAUGUUUUGGCACCUGAGGCAGAAAAUCCAAGGGGUACCUCUUUACGAAGGAGAAUAAAUAACUGUGACAAUUUUCUGCCUUUUGAGCUGUCAAACAAAGGAAUAUAUAUAGAUCUCAACUGUGUGUGUUUGUGUAGGGCCAGAAAUCAAGGGCCAAGGGCCCAGAUUGCCCACUGCGAGAGCCACUUUAAUAAGCUGGAGUGAAGAAAUAGGCCCACGGAGGGAGGAAAGGCAUAAGGUGUAAAAAAAGAAAGAAAAGUGAAUUCCGUGUUAGGAGUUACUGGGAAAGGGACUGAAAACAAAACUGCCAGUAUAAUUAUAUUUCAUGUGUGGGGCUCCUUUGAGAUGAAUGGCUCAAUAUAAAUUUAGCACAAAAAAGGGAUAAAUUUCUGGUUGUCCCAACUCAAAAGGGAUAUUCAGUUGGGAAAGGUUCAAGGGGUAGGGGCAACUCUCCACUGGGGAAAAGUUACAUUUGGGGCUUUAGAAGAAAGACGGCUGAGGAGGAACAUUCAAGAAGCUGCUGCAAAAUAUUUUAAGUGAUCGAGCCUUUUUUAAAAUCAAGAGUGAGAGCAGGCAUCAAACAAAGCUCUUUACAUCUGAACAAAAUGGUGACGAGCUGCUGCUUCACUGAGAAUUGUCAUUAUAAUUUAUUUAUUUAUUUGGAGUAAUAAUUAUUAGAAAGAUAUACCAAAACUGGAUCAGCACAUUGCACAAAAAGGAGAAACGAAACAAAACAAAACACCUUCCACAGAUGAAAAGGGGCUCUCAUUUUCAUCACACUGAGCAGCCGUGCUGUGAAGAAUCUUUAAACAAUAAUAAAAUGGAACUGGAAUUGUUUGAGGCUGCUAAAAAUGGAGCCACAGUGAGAGAAAGUCUGAAAAAGAUAUUGAACGCAGAGAAUAUAGAACGUGUCAAAUCCCUCACUUAGGAGGCAUAAAGACAUUUAAUAUUAAAAUACAUGUAUCACAGUAUUGAUCUAUUAUAGACAUUUGUGCCUUUAAAUAAAGAUUAAAAGGCUUUGUUGGCAUAGUUUAAAAGUUCUCUUUUUACGACAUCCCCUCCUCUCUGUGCCAGUGGAAAUUCCUUUUUUUUUAAAAAAAAGGUCCCGUGCCAAAAAUUGGCUGCUUGAGGUGGCCAGCACACUCUGCCUCAUGGUACUGCUUUGAUUCACUUGAAACACUCUUAAAGCGUUAUUUGAAUUGAAACAAUUUCACAGAAAACAGGGUGGUUUUAGACCCAGUUGAUCAAUCAUUGGUCCUCUUCCAUCCUUCCCCUGGAAUACAUUGUUUUAGGGGCUUACUGGUGGAAAUUCUUUUAUAAUUAUCUUCAAACAAAUUUAAAUUUUUCAUUGUAAUCUCUAGCCCCCAAAUACUUAGCUUUUUUCACUACUUCCAAUCCUGUUCUAUCCCCCAAUUCCUCCCCCCCCCCGAUUCUGUAGAUUUUUUUUACCAUGAGUUUUGUUUUUAGUCUGUUGAGUUUAAACCCAGAGACCUUGCCACACUCUGUUAUGGUUUCUUGGUCAUCUCAGAGCUAUCUCUGUGGAGUUUGGGUAGAAUCUACUGAUCCUGGAUAUGUACAGUCUGCCUUGCCUUUUCUAGGCGCAUCUGUGGUUUCUGUAUCUUUUGAACAUCUCAUUCUUAUGAUGGUUUCAUGAAAAUGCAUUUUUGUGCAAAUGUACACUUAAGAAGAAGAGUUAAGGAAGCCACAGACAGCACAAACAAUAGCCUAAAGCAAAAUCUAUUCGAAAGUAAUAGAUGUGAAGCUAACGUGAAGCUGUCUUAUUGUUGGUUUGCUUUUUACUGUUGUGUGUGUGUGUGUGUGUGUGUGUGUGUGUGUGUAUUUGGAUUGUUUUGUUGGUUUUCCCCAGCUGCUUCAAGCAUCUGGAGUGCUGGCAUCAGCACCUAGUAUAAUAAAGAAAUAAAUAAUACAUAGAAUUACAGCAAGGUCAUGAGCUUAGACUACUUUGAGUUCCAGUGACAAAUACCUGUUUCUGGAGACUUCCGGGUUAGCGCCUCCGGCAAUGGCGGAUUUCCUCUGACCGGGAGGAAUCCGCUUCGUGGAAAUCAGGGUCUGGACUGCCACGGCGAGGCGGAGACCCAUCAAAAACCACAGGCGGGAGAAGCCUGUGGACGUGGGAUUCGGCUGGCACCUUUUGCGCCUCCCCUACUCGCGGGGAAACCCGGUUUCGGGGAUCCGGAGCGACGUGGGGUGAGCGGCGCGGUGCUUUGAAUCGAUUGCUUUUUUCACGAAGUGAAGCCGCAUUGCUGUUGCCGGAGAGCGCUGACUUUUUCCUGUGGACAAUUGGACUUUAAACAACUACCUGUGAGUAGAACGGAAAAUUGGACUACUAAACAUCUUUAAUUUGGCACCGAUGCGGGAAGGUUCCAAACAGGAAGUCCGCCUUCCGCUUUUGUAAAUAGAUUGAAGCAAAGACAUUGCAAGCUAAAGUCUGGAAAGUCUUUUGUAAAGGAUUAAAUCUCCAUCGGCUAAAAUUACUAAACCCCCCUUGGAAGCAGGAGAAGAGGGGGAAGUUUAGAUUGUUUAAGCCUGCAGGAGAGAGAGUGAAGAAAGAUAAAUUACCACCGUUUUGAACCUGGGAACGGGCUGCCAGGGAGCGACGUAUUGGGAAAGUUCAUUGACUGUGAAUAAAACGUAUGUUGACAGAUAGUUAAACAAGAGAAACAUAUUGAUUCCAAUGUUUCCUUUUGCACUUGAAAGGAGCAAAAUAUCUGAAAAUCGAAAUUAACUUUGUUAACUUUGUUGCUGGACCUGCUUUUAAAAAGACGGAUACAAAUAGAAAUUGUUUCCCCUAGAUGGAGCUCUUGAAACUGUUGUAGGAGUGGAUCUGGGGAAUUCUCCAGCUGUAGAGAUUAAAGCCGUGAGAAUUAGACAUUGACCUUGGACAAGAAUGUGGACAGAAGAAGCCUUAGUGAUUGCUUUUUGCAAAACAAAUGCUUCAUUGGAACAGCUUCAUGAGAAGAUGGAUGCGAUGACUACUAGCACUGACAAUUUUGGACAAAAAAGGAUUGAUUUGGGACAAAAAGUGAAUACUUAUAAAGAAACUACUCAGGAACCGACCCAGGAAUCUGCUUUGACAUGGCAAGCUGUGGAGAAGACAAAGGAGGAGGUUGUUGUUGAACCUCAAGUAAUACAAGUGGAGAGAGCCUCGGCCUUGUAUGAGCAUAAGCUGUUGCUUUUGAAGACCGAAUCUGGAGAAAGCCAGAUUUGGAGAGAUGGAGUCCCGCUUGGAUUGGAGAAGGAAAGUUGGAAAGAUCCCUUCAUGCAGGGAUGUUCUGGCCUUUGGGAUCUGUUUUUGGGCCGGGGGAGAUUGGAGUGGCGAGGGCCUUUAACUUUGGAGGGACUUUGAAACAUGCUUUGAAUUAUUUUUUGGAUUUUGGCCCUGUCUAUGGAGAAUAGGCUGACCUGUCGAGAAGGGAUAAAGACAUUGUUAGGUUGGAGUCUUCCCGAGACCUACUCCUCAGUGACAAAGGAAGGAAAUUAAGAACAAGAUCAGCAGAAGACAAAGUAAAGUGUAGGUAUAAAUAUGAAGAAGAUCUGCAGAAGGGACAUGGAAAAGAGUUAAGAGCCUCGGACAGGAGAUCACCAGGUUGAUGGACUAGAUGGAAUGGAUAGAAAAGACUGACAGAACCCGAGACCAGGGUGAAGAGAUGGUGGAUGAAGAUUGGAAGAAAGUUUUAAAAAAUUUAUUUAGAGAAAUAUUGAAAAAUUUAUGAGUGUUAGAAAAAUGUUGGAAUGAAACUAUAUGGCUUUAGUAGAAAUGUUAUAAGGAGUUAUGUACAAAUAAGUUUUAAGUUUUAGGGUUUUUUAUGGUAAGAUAAAGUUAAAAUAAAUUGAGACAAUUAAAUGACAGAAAAUAGUGAAAGAUGGAAAGGAUUUGCUGAAAUAAUGAAUAACUAGAAUACAAAAAAGGGAGGUGUGAGGAGGUCGAUGAAACAAGUUAAUGAAAGACAAAGAUAUAGAAAUAUUGGAUCUAUUUUUAACUUUUUUGCUUUUGUUUUUGGUCUUGAUGUAUUGUGUGUUUUGUUCUUUUCUUUUUCUUUUUCUUUCCUUUUUUUAUAUGUAUUGAUUUGUAUUGUUUAAUCUCUUUUUCUCUUUUUUUUACACUUUUUUCUGUAAUUUUAAACUUUCGAUAAAUAUCAUUUAAAACAAACAAACAAAUACCUGUUUCUGCAACUGUUCUAAACAACAGAACUUCCUCCCAGAACCUUUGUUUGAUUUCUAGGUAAUCCCAGACAUUCCCUCUGGCUCAUCAGCCAAAUAGCUUUGAAGGCUUUUCCUUCUUCACUUCAGUGAAGAAAUAAUGCGGAAUCGAAUUGAACGGAAAACAAUUUGAAUUAAUUUCCAUUCAUCUGUGGGUCUAGUAGCUAGGACCUUGAUAGCGCUACACCUAUUACGAUGAGAAACAACUUCUUCUAAUAGUAUGUCAUAUAAAGCCACAACUUCUUCUCACCCUCCCCCAAAGUUUCUGUUCCUAGGAAGAACUCAACUCUAGCCUGAACUUUUGCUAUCUGAAGUCCAGUCAGCAUGUAAUGAGGCAAGACUCUUGUGAAUAAUAAGUGAUUUACCAGUAAACGUUGAUUAAUACCCCUUCUAUAAUUAUUGGGUUGUGUUUUUUUUAACCUGUUGCAGCAUACAAUAUCAUAGCUGAUAAAGUUUUAUAGGUUCAAGUCAUGAAACUGAAAUUAGCUCCUUUAUGCUCAAAGGGCCAGAAAAGAGAUUAGUUUAUUCAGAUCAAUGCUCUUUCACAAUUCCCAGGUGUGUCUGGUUUUGAUAGGAUACAGCUGGGUGACGUGGGUGAAAAGCUUCACAAAAUAACCCAUCACGAUUUGUACGUUGUCACUGUUCAAAAAUGCUUAGCAAACAUUAAUCAACAGAUUCAUUAAUAGUGUUUAUCUUUAUAUUUAAGACAAUAGCCGACAGUCACAAUGUGCGGAAUGGAUCUGCUUCCUUCGCAUAACCUUGAGGGAGGCAAUUGUAAAUAUGGCUUGGAUAAGUUUGAUUUGUAUGCCCCUCUUGGCAUACUUACUUGUCUUAAUUUGAAAUUCUAAUGGAUACCUUAGUCCUGCCUUAGCUCCAGUAGUGUAAACAGAGAUAUACUGCAGUGGAAACACAAACGAUUGGAAUAGUGAUGAGGAGCGUAAGUGGUGAGAGUGCUGUGGUACUCAUGCUCUCCAUGUGAGCCUCCAAUAGGCAUCUGGUUGGCCACUGUAAGAACCGGAUGUGGGACCAAUUUGCAUGUGGUCCCUGGUAUCACCAGCAAAACCAGCUAUUUGUAUACUGGCAAAAAGGAAAGAAAAAGCUCCCAUUCAUUCUACGGCAACCUUCAAGAUUAGCUGGGGACCUAAUUUACCUUGAAUUAUCAGCAUUAGGAGGGACGCGGGUGGCGCUGUGGGUUAAACCACAGAGCCUAGGGCUUGCCGAUCAGAAGGUCAGCGGUUCGAAUCCCCGCUACGGGGUGAGCUCCCGUUGCUCGGUCCCUGCUCCCGCCCACCUAGCAGUUCAAAAGCACGUCAAAGUGCAAGUAGAUAAAUAGGUACCGCUCCGGCGGGAAGGUAAGCGGCAUUUCUGUGUGCUGCUCUGGUUCGCCAGAAGCGGCUUAGUCAUGCUGGCCACAUGACCCGGAAGCUGUACGCCGGCUCCCUCGGCCAGUAAAGUGAGAUGAGCUCCGCAACCCCAGAGUCGUCCGCGACUGGACCUAAUGGUCAGGGGUCCCUUUACCUUUUUAUCAUCAUCAGGAAGGGCGGUAUUUCUGCUACGACUCAGAUUUGAGUAUGGAUAAAUGUAGAUAUGUAAAUGGGCAUGGUCACACAAGGCUCCUGGUUCCCUUGGAUUUGUAACAUGAAUUUGUACGGCCUUUGGGACUGAGCUUUAUGUUAUAUUCAUUUGAAAUUUCAACUGGUGCAAUAGCCAAGGAAGAGAAAACAAGAGUUACUUUAUCCUUGAAUAAGGUUGCCUGCUUUUGCUUUUGAUGCAAGAGACUAAUAGCAUUACCCUUCUGGAAAGAACUAGUAUGCAACUUUAAUUAUUGGUGCCUGAGUUUGCUCCUUUUCUUCUAUACUCAACUUUAGCUGAGAACUCAUGAAGAACCCUCCUCUUUUUUGAUGACAGUUAGUGUAGGGGAGUCUUGAACUCAUCAGGUCCUCAUCUCUGCUACAACAUUGAUAUAUCGUAAUUUUUAGCUAGUAAUAUAUCGCGAUGUUGAAAACCAGGUAUCGCCCAGGCCUAAACAACAGUGCUAUAAAUUUGUAAUACAUACAUACAUACAUACAUACAUACAUACAUAUAUACAGUGGUACCUCAGGUUACAUACGCUUCAGGUUACAGACUCCGCUAACCCAGAAAUAGUGCCUCAGGUUAAGAACUAUGCUUCAGGGUGAGAACAGAAAUCGUGCUCUGGCGGCGUGGCGGCAGCAGGAGGCCCCAUUAGCUAAAAUGGUGCUUUAGGUUAAGAACAGUUUCAUGUUAAGAACGGACCUCCAGAACGAAUUAAGUACUUAACCCAAGGUACACACACACACACACACACACACACACACAUAUAUAUAUAUAUAUAUCUCUCCAGAGCUGCUGUGGCUCUAAUAGAAGGCUCAUGGGCAGAAAUUCAAGCAGCAAAGCUUUACCUCUCAUGGAGAUGCAGCAAAAGGAGGGGAAAAAGAACACCUUACCACACAAAAGCCUUUUUUUUUUUUAAAGCAGACAACAUGGUAGUAAUGUAUAAAUCAGACCUAGUAUAGACAUAUCUUUCUCACAGAAAAUAAACAGCAAGUAAGACCAACAUAGAUCUCAGUGUGAAUAAAGGCAACAGAACUGGGCAGUGGAACCAGCACAUAAUCUCACAGACCUCAGUUAGCAUUCACAGUACGAAUCACAGACAUGAAAUGGCCCACACUGAUUACUGUGUAGAUUGUAGCUGAUACUCUCUCGUACCUUUUGAACGGAAUAAAAGUUUAUUUAGGAGACAUUUUGAGCUCAAUGGGAUGCACUAGGCCUUCCAUGAUAAACAAAGUUGAAAUUCCCAGAAGCGCACGGUGUAGCAUUUCCAGGUAUUAAACACAAAGCAGUUUUCAAUUUUGUUCACGUCUUGCUUCUGUUUGACAAUCUCAUCUACUCCGUUUGUUGCCAAAGGCUAAUGCUCGGCUCCUCACUGACAGUCUCCAUCACUCUUGGAGACAGUCGGAGAGAAGGAAAGAAAAACAUUUUGUUCUCUACUGGGGUGGUUUUGCUCCUGGUGAAAAUAAAAGGGGAGGGGCAUGGGAGCACCACCAGUUUUACAGUGUACUGGACUAAGAGUUUGGUGGGGGCAGUAGGCCACAUAAGUGCAUGGAUGCUACUUCUCUGUUGAACAAGGACCUUGGUCCUUGCAGAAGAUCCUUAGUUUUGAGACAAUGCUCUUAUAGUUGGUUGGAAAACACCCACACUCCAAAAACACCUAGUAAAUGAACAGUGCUUUUCCUAGCUGAAGUGGUGCUUCAGGUUAAGAACAGUUUCAGGUUAAGAACGGACCUCCGGAACGAAUUAAGUACUUAACCCAAGGUACCAAUGUAAGGACCUCCUAAUUAAACCAUGUUAAUAACAUGAUUAUAUAUAGGUGAAUUCACUUGGAUUUACUUUGGAAUUAUUAUUUUUUGGUGGGGAAGGAGAAAUAGAUUUGACUGCUUUGGACUAGAUAUUGUAUUAAUGUAUCCAUAGAGCUGUCACAAAAUGGAUUCCUCCAAUUCACAACUCCACUCACAGGGCACAAACUAUGGACACAGGAGGCUGCUUUCAACUGAGUCAGACCAUUGAUCCAUCCAGCUCAUUACUGGCAGUGGCUCUCCAGGGUUCCAGGGAGGACUCUUUCCCAGCCCAGGAGAUGCCAAAGAUUGAACCUGGGACCUUCUGUAUGGAAGCAGAUGCCCUACCACUGAGCUACAACCCUUUCUCCUAUUUGUGGGAGAGCAAUUCACUAAUUUUCAUGACCCUGUAGAAAAUGAUAGAGCUGCUCUGGCAGAGCAUCCCAAGAGGAAGAAAGCUGGCUGCCCAACAGCCCCAUAGCUAGCAGUAUGCACAGGGUUCAAAUUAUAUGGAGGGUCUACACUUGUUCAACAGGCUUCCCUUUUGCAGACAAGUCCCAAUGCAUGGACAGUAUGUGAACAGGACUGGUAGGUUAUGCAGCGGCUAGGGUAGGGGGAGCUCUUUCUCCACAUCAUCUUAGUCACAUGGAGGUAAAGGUAAAGGGACCCCUGAGCAUUGGGUCCAGUCGUGACCGACUCUGGGGUUGCGGCGCUCAUCUCGCUCUAUAGGCCGAGGGAGCCGGCAUACAGCUUCUGGUCAUGAGGCCAGCAUGACUAAGCCAUUUCUGGCGAACCAGAGCAGCACACGGAAACGCCGUUUACCUUCCCGCCGGAGCGGUACCUAUUUAUCUACUUGCACUUUGUGCUUUCAAACUGCUAGGUUGGCAGGAGCUGGGACCGAGCAACGGGCGCUCACCCCAUCGCGGGGAUUCGAACCGCCAACCUUCUGAUCGGCAAGUCUUAGGCUCUGUGGUUUAACCCACAGCGCCACCCGCAUCCCAUUCGCCACCCACAUCCCACUCACAUGGAGGUAAUAAUGCCCAAAUAGGGCUUCUAAAAUAACCAAAUGCGUUUCUCUGACUAUAUAGGUAUAUAGUAAAACUAUAUAUAUAAAUUACUUUUUGUCCCAGUUUUUAGCUGGAAGCAUUGGACCCAAUAGACACAGUGAAAAAUUGAGAUUGUUAAGCUGGGAUGAUCAGAAAGGCAAGGUGAACUAUCUUUCUGUAUGCUCCGCUUGUUUCUUCAUGCUCAGUGUACAGUUUAUUACACCUUAAGUGUGUUUACACAAAUGCAAUAUUGUAAAUAUUUAAUUGUCUUUGUAACGGCUCAGUCAGUCAGAUUCUUAAAGGUUAUGUUGAGAGCUUCUGGAGUCCCAGGGCAGUGUUUAUUUUUAGUUUACAAUGAGCAGCUUGUUGAAGACUCACCAUCUGCUCAAAUGAAAAAAACACCACUUGACAGAGUGGACAAUUGAAAGGAUGCCUGCAAUUCUUAAUGAAUAACUUGUGGCCCAUUGUCACAAAUCGGUUAUCCUGUCACCAUAACUCACUGACUCGGAGUGACUUUGAAUGUGAUGUUGACAGGCACUUCCUGUUGCUCUGGGCCUCAUCUUGGCCAAAAUAGACCUUUCAAAUUUCCUUCCCCCUCUCCAGCACUUAGACAUUCAGCAUCCCAAAGUGCAGAAAGGGCAUGUAAGCUUGGACAUGGGGGAUUCUUUUCCAGAAAAGACAGGGAUGUAGUGGAAAAUAAGGCAUUGCACAUUCUGUUAUACAAUGGAAGAUAAGACAUAUGUAAAAAUGAGCAGGCACUUGCCUAGUACAAAAAAAGAAAUUUGGAAGUUACAUUGGUGCAGAUUGCCUAUAGUACAACUUGGAAGCAGAGUGGUCUAACGUCCACAAAUGCUUGUCAUGUGGUGCCUCACUACACUACAAAUACUUCAAGUAUUUGGCCCCCUAAUUGAAGGAGGAGAUUUAUCGCACUGACUCUUCCAGGUUGCCUUAUCUGCUGAACAAUUGUAGGAAUGACGUUGUGAAGAUUGUGGCAAGAUUUUUGAGUGAUGCCAUGAAAUUAUGUCACCAUAGGUCCUAAGAGCUAUUUUCGUACAUCAUGAUGUCUGGACAGUUUUAUCCUAAAGUAUCUCCACUAUGUUUUGUUAACUGUGUUGUGUCCAUGUAUACAAUGCACUUUUUCAAUGCCAAUAAAGGAGAUUGAUUGAUUGAUUGACCAACCAACCAACCAACCAAUCAAUCAAUCAGUGGAGGCACCAUAUCAAUGAAAUGAUAUGGUGCCUCCAUUGACAGCUGCCUCAAAACCCCAAUAUAAGAAGAACAUAAAGUAUAGCAGUUGGUUCUCUUGGUGUUUUCUAUGUGGCUAUGCCUAUCGGUCAAAGCAGGGUAAUGUCUAUAAAGACAUUUCUAAUGGCAUGUGGCUUGGGGUAAUGGCUCAGGCCUCAGGUAGUAUUUUUACUCAAAGAAGAAAGCAAUGAUUAGAAAUGAAGUCCAUAGAGUUAAGAGUGUAUGGAACCCCUUGAGGAAGGUUGCUCACCGUAUCAAAACUUCCCCUGAACUUCCUCAAAUCUACCUCAAAAGUUUACUUUGAUGGAAAUUCUGCACUGAACGUAGUUCCAAAUCUUCUCAAGUUUGCCAAUGCAUGGAGAAUUUCUUACUCAGCUCCAAAUUCCCAAAAGAAUAUCCAGUGCUCACAAGAGCCACAAGAUAUUCAAGGCACUUGUUUAAAAAGAGUUGGGGAGUUCCAUAUAGGGAUAUGCAGAAUCCCACAAUAAUUUUUGCUGGUCUUAUUGAAGCUCUGCUUAUUUCCUUUGAAAAUCCUUUUCUAUUUUGCCCCGAGUAGUGAUCCUGACUCAAAUUCACUUUGAAAAUUAAUUUUAGGUGAAAUUGGGGCCUAUUUUCACUAGGGCAAUUCUAAAUUAAAACAUGUUCUAAUGAUAUUUAUUAGAGUACUGUCUGCUUGCCUAGUCAGUUGUGUUUCAGUUACAUCUGCAGCCAGUCAUAUUAUUUUUAAAAAUGUUUAUCUUUGAAAUGCCAUGGCCACAGCUAUGUGGAGUUUUGCGUUGACAGUAUUUCUCCUCCAUAUGCCUUUGGCUUUUUCAUAUUGUCAUGACAACGUGAUGAGAAUGAGACCUUACGCAUUAGUUUGUAGUACGGCAAUUCAGAUUUUUGUUCUGAUGUAAACAGAGAGAGAUGAGAGAAAAUUCACUGGUAUAUAAAUCAUAUGGAAUAAAACAUGUUUACAUUGUUGAAUUCAAGCUCCACUACUUUCUUGCUGUAAUGUUCUGGGCAUAAUUUUCACAAAGCAUGUGUGUAGCUAAAGGAUUUGCUUUAAGCUUGAGGGAGCAGUGAUGUCUUCACAUUUAGGCUACAGCGGCAAAAGCAAUAAAGCAUUUCCUUACAAGCUCCAGAUCUGCUUGCUUCCAGGAGAUGAAUGGCUUAGAGGGCUACACAAACAACUGAAUUUCCUGGCACCCCUGUUACACCUGAGAAAGCACUAAAGCACCUGAGCUUUUCUAUUUCACAUUGGAAAAACAGAUCCAAACAUUUGUUAUAAAACAAAAGGCAAAAAUAUGGGAGGCCACCAUCCUUUCGGAGGUAGGACCAUAAAGAUGCCAUUUUUCAUUUUUAUUAGUGAAGUCGCUGAAGUUUGUAAUUAUCUGGUUUAGAAUGCAGUUUGUAAAGCUCAGCAGUGCUAUGAAAAUGAGAUCCUGUGCAUGUGCAGCCAGUUAGUUCCCAAAGUUAGCUGCUUUGUACAGUGGUACCUCAGGUUACAGAUGCUUCAGGUUACAGACGCUUCAGGUUACAGACUCUUCUAACCCAGAAAUAUUACAUCGGGUUAAGAACUUUGCUUCAGGAUGAGAACAGAAAUUGUGCGGUGGUGGCACGGCAGCAGCAGGAGUGCCCAUUAGCUAAAGUGGUACCUCAGGCUAAGAACAGUUUCAGGUUAAGAACGGACCUCCAGAACGAAUUAAGUUCUUAAGCCAAGGUACCACUGUAGAUGGACAUUCGAACAUUAUUUAAUAAUAAACUCCUUGAUCUCACUGAAUCUCUGGAUUGCUGUGAACCUGCAGGAACUACGGAUGCCACCUGCCCAUGCACAGAAUAGCUUUACCACUAAAUCCUUACUCCUGCUGAAAUGCUUGUUGAUUGCUGCUAACUUCAUGAGGAGACCACUUGACCAAUCAGCCUUUUUGAUGAAUAUUUUCUCUAUGGGUAAAUUAUCUUGAGGUCAUGUGACUUUUGUCCCCCCAUCCAUACCUAACAUCCUCUUGUUCCCAGAUGUAUUUGAUUUAGGAAUGAUUUCUCCAUUUAGACUCUAUACCUUGCAGUUUUUGGAUCCCCCGUAUUGACCCUUUUGUCCCUGUGCUCAAUCACCUCUGGUCCAGAUCCUUUGAGGACUUGCAUUUCUAUAUACAUCGUCACCUAAAGCCAAGCACAGCCGCACUGCCCUGCUUGAUGCCUGCAAGUUAGACAUCGACUGUGCCAGGUUGUGAUCUUACCUGUGAAUGCCUUUAGGUUCUGGCUUCACAAUACAACUGCUGGUAAAUUGUAUAAGGGUUUAAAUAUUGUCAGUUCCAUAAGAUUACACCAAUACUGAUAAAUCAAAGGACCACAUACUGUAUGAUAUCAUUUGAUGGAUCAGAAAGCAUCCACAUAUGUAUCAUUUGGUGUAUCAGAAACAGUGGACAUAAAUCAUAUGUGAAUAUUGUCUAUCUGUACUGCAUUACCUUCAGCUAGAUGGGCAGUGGAAUGUGCAACAUCAGCCAAAUUUUGGUGCAACCAGUGAUGCAUAAGCAUGCUCAACUAGAGUUGAUUGUAAACAUUCAUGUUUAAUUCCACAUUAUGAUUUUCAUUGUCGUAAGCAGCCACAACUAUACAUAGCAACAUUUACUGAACUAAUAUCUAAUUUGCCUUUCAUCUGUUGAGUCCUACCAUAGCCCAUUAAGUAGUCUGGCUAUUAAUACACUAUAAUUAUUAGGAUUCUGCUUCCCAGCUGGGAGAUAAAUUUGGAUAAUUACUGGGAGCAGAUGCAAUGCCACCUGCCUCCCGCUACUGAACUGUGACCCAUGUUGUCCAGAUGGCAUCCCUAAUUUAAGACGUCCUCCUGGAGCCUACAACCAGCAGAUUGAAGAGGAGGAAAGAAUCUGGUCGUGGGAUCUUACCUCUUAACAUUUGCUGCUUCAUGUAUUCAGCAGGAUUUUUAGACUUCCAAGGAGGUGAGGAAAAGCACCUUGCUAUCUUGGUGUCCUCUUGGCGGCAUAGAUGGUCCUCAGGAAGGGAUGUGGAGCAGAUGGAAAUGAUGUGAUGAAUUGCAUUGACUUUGUGUUAGCAUUUCAUCUCGAAGUAGAGCAGCCUUUUCCAUCCUGCUGGCUUCGUGCUCUUUUAGACUACAACUUCCAUCAGCCCCAUGCAACAUGGCCAUGCAGGUUGAGGCUCAUGGUGACUGUGGUCCAAAACAGGUGGAAGAAAACACAAUGGGAAAAGAUACUUCAGACAAAAUGAUGGAAAUAUAUGCAUACUUAACUUGGGAGAAAAUCCCAUUGAAUUCAGUAAAAACAAACCAACAAAAACAUAGCAACCAACUAUUAAGUAGCUAGAACCCCUCCAAUGACCAACAGUGCUUAGUUUGUUGUUACUGCCAACUUACAUAGACUAUUUAUUAAAGUUAGUUACGAUAUUCUACACUGAUAAGGCAAAAUGACUGCUGGGCAUUUACCGUUUCCUUUAAGAAAUGCUUUUGCUUUAAGUAACUAAAGUGAAAAUGACUAAUCUUAAACCAAUUAAGCUCGUAGUCUUUUUGAAUUGCCUUAGAAUUCAAUUUAAUAGAUCCAAUUUAGGCAAAAUCCAAUUUGAAAGGUUGGUCGGCGAGUAAAACACUGGCCAAAACCUUUGGAUUGGCCGAGGAAAGAGACUUUCUAAUUUUCAUAUUGAUUCAUAGUAAUUGACAAUCUAAUUUUAAAAACAGCAAUGUUUGUUCCUUACCUCAGAAAGUAUAUUUAGCAGUAGUGACUGUAAAUAUGCUUUAAGAAAGCAGAAUAAUAUGUUAAACAGUUUCACUAAUUGGAUAACAAUGAUUAAUAUUCCAAUUCAACAAAGUGCGAAACGAACACUUCUCUGUAUUAGUUUUCCUCUGCUUACCAAGUGUUGGGUCUUAUCAUUCAGAAAGCAUAAAUAUAAAUGGAAAUUAUACAUUAGGCUGGCACAUAUUAAAUGAACAUUUUUCCAUAUAGUACAAGAAACAUAGCUGAACAUCAGUUGUACUUCCAUAUGAGUCCCAUCUGAAGUUCAUGAGGAGGUGGGACCAGCAGAACCUGUUCUAUGGUGGCACCAAUAUAUUGGAGCCUUUGCAAAAGGAAACGCAUCACAACAGGCAAUGGGUGGCUUCAGAUUCUGUCUCUUGUCCUCUUGCCCUUCACCCUAUUUAAGUCCACUGUUGGUAGAAAAGUGGGUGGGCAGGACCCCUCAUAGUCAGUGGAGAGAGGGAAAAUGACUCUCACCAAAGUACAGACACAGGAAAUGACAUCAUGGCUGGGGAAGGGACAAUGCUGAGGAGACAGUGUUGGGCCCCUGGCCGGUGUUCGGUUGUGCUGUCUUCUGCUGCUGUGCCUGCCUCUGAGGACUGGGACUGCAGCAGAUGGCGAGGGGGGGUUUAAUCCUUUCCUCCAAUUCUAUAGUCCCAUUGGCACCAUCUUGUUUGAUGGGAAGGUCAGAAUAUGAGGCGGAAAUGUAGUUGCGAUAUGCUAGAAGGGCCAAGCACUUCUCAAAGGACGCUCCCUGGCUUGCUAUUUUGAGUUGGGAUUCAGUCACAAAUCCAGAUCUCCAGCUACCAGUGUUGUGUAGUGGUUAGACUAGGACCUGGGAGACCAGGGUUCGAAUCCCGAUUCAGUCACGAAGCUUGCUAGGUGACCUCAUGUCAGGCACUGUCCCUCAGCCUAAGUUACUUGAGCAUGUGGUGGAAUGUCAGUUCCAGGGGUUUCUGGAGAAAAUGGUUGAUGUAGAUCCAUUUCAAUCUGGUUUUAGGCCUGGUCUCUGCAGCGGCCAGGGGUGCAUUUGCACAGUUAAAACUCUUGUGCCAACUGCACCCAUUCUCUGAGAUGUCUGAUUUGGUCACAGUGACACAACCCAGCAAGGAUAUAAUACUUUUUUUUUGUUCUUAACUGGGAACAGCUUGUGAGGAGCGGGAAAUGGCCAAUUUAUAUUUUAUAAAGCGGUGGCAACGCACCAGCAAUGCAAGUGUUAACAUGCCUGACUUAACAAGGCUCUAUUUCCUGACAGCGCAACAUGGUUUUUAAAAACACUCCUGAAUGAAGAUGGUAACAUGCCAGUCAUUAUACAAGGGAUAAUGGUGGCAGAGCGAUGGCUGAAUGAGAUAUUUCAUUUUUUUUUUAAUGGGACAAAACUUUUCUUCGCAGCUGUCUUUCUGCCUCUUUCUCUUACCUUUUCUUUGGCUGCCUCUCUUCUCCUUUAUCCUUUCAUUCUUGUUUCAAGAAUAGCGAAAGAACAGCGAUAAGAAAAAGGUGACAGAGAGAUAAAUCACACAAAAGACUUUAAAAAAGCCUGACAUAUACGAACAUGGGAAAUGCAUUGCUUGAUAGAGCAAUGAUGUCUUUAACAUGACUACCCACCCCCAUGAGCCCAACACACUUUUGUGAAAGAUUUUGCGCUCAUUUUGUUUUCCCCAGUGUUUGGGGGCAUUUUGGAGAAUGGGUAGAAAAUGCUGCCGAAAUAUGGAUUACUAAUCUGUGUGUGCAUAUGCGUCUCAGAACUGUCAGACAGAGGGUGGAUGUGUCUUAAAAGAAGAGGAAGUAAUGGAUGUUUUUCCCAGGGGGGAAAAUGUUUUGUUGCUGUUUCAGGUCUUGGCUUCAGGAUCCCAGUGGCAUCCCAUUCUACAUUGGGACAGAACACACCAUGGGAACAAAAUUGUCCCAUGGUGUCACACAGGGGUGGGGAACCUCAGGUGGUGGGGAGAGGGGUGUGUGUGUGAAUGCGGCCCUCCAGGUCUUUUAUUCUGGCCCUUGGAACCCUUCAUGCCACGCCUCCUCUCUCCAGGCCACACUGUUUUGCAUCCUCCUUGAGUGGGUUUGCCUGGGUGAAAUGAACUCCAGCAUAGCCUUUUGCUUGUAUGGAUAGAGGAGAGGGGUACAUAGGGCUGUGUGUAGAAACUAGCCUAUGGAGAAAGGUAAAAUGUACCGUAUUUUUCGCUCUAUAGGACGCACCAGACGAUAAGAAACACCUAGUUUUGGGGGGAGGAAAACAAGGAAAAAAAUAUUCUGAAUCCCAGAAGCCAGAACAGCAAGAGGGAUCUGGCUUCUGGGAUAGUCUCUUGCUGUUCUGGCUUCUGGGAUAGCCGCUGAAGCCUCUCCUGGGCAGCGGGAUGAAGGCUCCCCCUGCCUGGAAGAGGCUGCAUGUGGGUAAGCUGCCCUUUGUCCCUUCCCCCAUCUCCCGCAAGAGCCGCGUGCUCUUUAAAGGGAGUGCGGCUCUUGGGGGCUUUUCUGGGAGGUGGGGGAAGGGACAGAGCCACACGCUCUGUCCCUUCCCCCCACCUCCCGCAAGAGCCGCGCGAAGCCUCCGCAGGGCAGCGGGGAGCCUUCAUCCCGCUGCCCUGCGGAGGCUUCGGGGGGCUAUCCCAAAGCCAGAAUAGCUAGAGGGAGCGCUGCGCAGCACUCACUCUAGCUGUUCUAGCUUCCUGCAAAGCCUCUGCAGGGCACGGGCAGCCUUCACCCCCGUGUCCUGCGGAGGCUUCACGGGCUGUCCCAGAAGCCAGAACAGCAAGACGGAGCGCUCCAUCUCACUGUUCUGGAUUCUGGGACAGUCCGCGAAGCCUCCAGAGGGCAGCAGGAUGAAGGCACCCCACUGCCCUGUGGAGGCUUUGCGCAGCUAAGCCCGAAGCUAGAACAGUGAGACGGAGCACUGCACAGUGCUCCCUCUCCCUUUUCUGGCUUCUGGCUUAGCCGCGUAGCCUGCAUUCGCUUCAUAAGACGCACAAACAUUUCCCCUUACUUUUUCGGAGGGGAAAAAGUGUGUCUUAUAGAGGGAAAAACACGUACAUUUGUUGCUCUGUCCACUUUUGAUUCUGACCUCUUCCACUAUCGGUAUUCAGCCCACAAAAGGUUGCCCAGAAGCAGGGUCAGCCCAAUAUAGUUUGGCACUUGAGGCAGACCCCAAAGUGGUGUCUCCUUCAUUGUCAGGUAAGAAGGGGUGAAGGGAAAUCUAUGGUAUACUGUAUCAGGAACAAGAGGAAACAAAGAAAGAUGUACAUGGGGAUCAGCUGCCCCUGAAGAUUCUGUCACCUGAGGCAGUUAUCUCACCUUGCCUCAUGGAUGGGUCGGCCCUGCACGGAUAUGAAUGUGGCCCUUGGACUUAGGAAAUGUUCUGCAGCUCUGAUGUAGCAUAAUUCCCAGGAACAUCCUUAGGGUAAAAGAUGGCUGCCUCCAUAGGGCACAAUUCAUUAAGUUUCAGGAAUGUUUAAAUCCCAUUCAUUUUAAUUUGAGAGUUAAGUCUAUUCACCCCCUUAUCAGGCAGGUGGCUUUGUGGGUGGGCCCCAGGCCACCCUGGUAAACCAACCUAUUGCAGGCUGGACUGUCUUUGUGCCACCAAAUGGGCCAAUGGCGGAAGGAGUUAGGGGGCAUUCCCCUGGGUGCAAGCCCAACAGACCAAUUGCAGCCCUUGCAGCCCAGGGGAAGUUUAAGUGCCUGGCCUGUGGGGCCUUUUGGCUUCUCUCUCGCUGUGCCAGUUACCACAAUGCCUAUGGCCAAACCUCACAUAUGUAACCAAUAAAGUUGUGGCCUUAUUUGAUCCCAAAACCAAUAUGCCAUGUGUUGUCUAGUUAUUUGCACCUUAGGGAACAGGGUAGUCAUGGGGCCUCGAUACGCAAUUGAAUUAUUGAAUCUCUGCCACUGAAAUUAGCUAGAUUUUAAGGAAAUGUUUCAGUUUGUUUAAAUAAUGGUUUAGUAUAGAAACCCUUUAAGAGCUUGUCAUCACCCUUAAUAAAGAAUUCCCUCUCCCUCCCCAAAUUUAGUUUUGCUUCCCUUUCCCUUUUCAAUGGAAUUUGCAGACAGGUUUCCCAGGAUACCUUUUUCUUAGAGACAGUAGAGAUGGAGAGGUAUCUUUGUGAAAUCUGUUUGCCUACAGAGAAUAUUAAAGGUAAAGGGACCCCUGACCAUUAGGUCCAGUCGUGGCCGACUCUGGGGUUGCAGCGCUCAUCUCACUUUAUUGGCCAAGGGAGCCAGCGUACAGACUAAGCCGCUUCUGGCGAACCAGAGCAGCGCAUGGAAACACCGUUUACCUUCCCGCCGGAGCGGUACCUAUUUAUCUACUUGCACUUUGACGUGCUUUCGAACUGCUAGGUUGGCAGGAUCAGGGACCGAGCAACGGGAGCUCACCCCGUCGCGGGGAUUCGAACCGCCUCUCUUCUGAUCAGCAAGUCCUAGGCUCUGUGGUUUAACCCACAGCUCCACCCAUGUCCCUACAGAGAAUAUUAGGAAGCAGUAAUAAGCAGAGACUGCAGUAUUUUACAAGGACAAUCAAUGCUGGAUCAAAAUCCAAGAAGCUAGGAGUUGGCUGUGGCAGACUGUUCCACAAAACAAGAAAAAAAAGUUCCAACCCUGACAUUGGUAGACUACGAUUCUCAUAGGCCCUAGCAAACAUGGCCAAUUAUCAGGGGUGAUGGGAGUUGUAGUUCAGCAAUAUCUGGAGGCCCAAAACAUCCCCACACAACAGAUCUAAGUGAUUUUUAAAUGUCAGUGGUAUUGGAGAGAGAGGCUGGGAAGAGAGAUUUCUUGCUUUCUUGUAGCAGAGUUAGACACAGUGGCGAUUGCUCCGGGCACAUUUAAACUUGGUUGGAUUUUGCAUUUAUCCUAAUUUACCUUUAAAUAAAUGUUCCCAAUGAAAAUACUUAGGCUAAAAUAAAUCACAGACACUUAGCUUUGCAAAUAAGUGAAUGUUUUACUCACAGAUUUUCCAGAAAUCUGUUACAGCAAACAAGUACCCAUCUGUUGGCAGUAAAACAAAGAUGAACAAAGGCUUCAAACAACUUCAAAACAAAUGUACUUGAUUUCCUUACAAAAAGGAUCAUGCAAUCUUUGGCUUAGCAAAGAUGCAGGCUGUAAAAUCUCACUUUUGGAGAGAUUCACUUCACUUGCAGGGAGCCUCAUGGUUCCUUCUUUAAGGAAGCAUGAAGAGAAAGGAGAGUGAGAUGAGGGAUGGGAACAGGUGCUGCUGAAAGGCAACCUGAGCUGUGGGCUCAGGUUAACUCUUUCACACAUGGAAGUGUAAGCCAUUAACUGGAUAUUGCAAUAAGCGGCUCCUAUGUGCUCUGGUAGCUUCCAGACUGGAUUAUUGUAAUGCAUUCUACAUGGAGCUGCCCUUGACGAUGACUCAGAAACUUCAACUGAUCUAAAAUGCAGUAGCCAGGUUACUGGCUGGGGUUUAAAUCAUAACUCACAUAAACACUGUUUUAAAACAGCUGCACUGCUUGCUAGUUCAUUUCUGGGCCUAAUUCAAGGUGUUAAAAUUAGUGUUUAAAAUCUUAUAUGACUCUUGCCACAAAUAUUUGAAAGACUGUCUCUUUCCCUAUAAACCUUUGAUUGCUAAAAUCAGCAGAGGGGACCCUCUUGGUAGUUUCACCACCUCAGAUGUUUAGUGGGUGGCAGUCCAGGAGAAGGCAUUAUCUAUGGCAGCUUCUAAAUUAUAAUAUUUCUGCCUCAGAGUGCUGGCAGAGGAACAGGGGCAGGGGGCGGGUGGAGCGCCCUGCCCCCAGCACCAUCGGGGAGGGGGCGACCAUUGCAGCCACCCCUUGGACACGCGCUGCGCACCCCCACCGCGCCGGGCACCACACCCCCGCAGGUGGUGUGCCACACCCCCGGGAUGUGCGCGACGCCCCCACGGGCAACAUGCCACGCCCCUGGGACGUGUGCCAGCCACGCCCCUGCCUGCUAUCUGCCCCCGGUUCCGGGCCAUGCAGCUUCGCCACUGCCUCAGAGAAGUGCAUUUAACACUACCAAACUUUUAGAAAAACAUGUGAAGGCUGCCCUGUUUAGGGAAGCUUUUAAUGUUUAAUAGGUUAUUGUAUUUUAGUGUUUUGUUGGAAGCUGCCCAGAGUGGCUGGGGAAACCCAGCCAGAUGGGCGGGGUAUAAAUAAAUCAUCAUCAUCAUCAUCAUCAUCAUUAUUUAGUUUCUGUCAUAUCAUAUGGUGAAGAUGCUCUGCUGCACUCUAGUCUUUGACUAAUCUGUGUAUAUGUAUAUAUUUGGGACCAAGCCUAUUGCUGUGAUGGUAACUUGAUUUAAACUGAAUUAAUAUUGUAUUUUUAAUUGUUUGAACCCAACCUGUGACCUUAUGGGGAAGGGCGGCUAAGAAACUGAAAUAGUAAUAAUAGCUGAGUGAAGAUGGGCUCCAAAAAUUCUUCACCCUGUUUGCACACCAUGAGAUUGGGAGUACAGUGUCACUAAAUACUCUUGGGAAGGAGAUAUUUUCCUUUAGUAAGGUUCUUAACCCCCGCACAUCACAAGGUUUUCUUUGCCAAUGCAGCAACUGAGCUGCCAUUUUAUAUCCCCCACAAUGCCCCAGGCCUAGCAUUGCUCUUUGGGAUUGAGGGGAGGGGAUAGUGACUACUACAAAAAUGGUAGAGAAUAUUCGCCAAAUGGAGGUGGUGCAAAACAGAAUUCCCAGAAAUUUCUCCCACGAAAAUCUCUUCAGAUUUACUCUUGUCCCGAGAGAGAGAUACAGAGACUAUAAUUCUGGUCUGUAAAUGGGAAGAUGGCACAAAAGUUAACAGUUAAAAAAAAAUACAACACACAAUAACCUCUUUAUCAUACUAUUUUUUUUCUUUUGAAAUCAGAACUGGAGGCAACAGCCUCUUGUGGCUUUAAGCGUAAGAGAAACUGGUAUUCACUGUAGUUUUUGCAUAAAUCACAUGAGUACAUUUAUUAGCUCAUGUUUAACAAACGCUGUGUUUAAGUGACACCUAAUCACUACUCUUGUUCAGUGCAAGUACCUCAGAGCAAAUUCAUGUCAGCUGUCUAUAUUUCUUUAAGAGCUCACUAAUUGUUCUUUAGGGCAUUGAUACAGAAUAAUUUCUUAUAUCUUUUUUUUUUUAAAAAGAGACUUUAAUAUUUCAAUUCAGACCUCGCAAACAAUUAUAGGCUGUUGUGCUCUUGGUCAUUUUAGACAACACUUAUGAAAAAUGGAUGGCACUGGGGAGAACGGCGUAUUUCAAUAAGGUCUUAGAUACAGUGCAUACUUCAAACUUCCUUUUGCUCUUCUGAGAGCUCAGAAAGAAGGAAGAAAAACACUAAGGAAGAUUUGGUCUAGUUUUUUUAGACACUGCAUCAAUGAAUGUAACAGCACUUAGCCUUCAGAUAGUCCCAUAUUCAUGGUUCAAAGCACCUUACAUUCAUUAUCUCAGUAACAAUUGCAACACGUACAUCUAUCUUGCAAGGUAGGACAGAAUUUUGUGUGUAUUAUAGAUGUGGGAAAGGAUGAUGCUGAGACAGAGUGGUUGUCUAAAGCAACCUAGUGAAUUCAUGGCUCAAAAUCUUUUGAAUCAGAUUUCCCUCUUCCCAGCUCACACUCUUAUGCUGCAAUUCUAUGGUCACUUGAAAAGGACCAUAUCCCACCAAACUUCGUGGGGACUUACUUCUGAGUAGAUACACAUAGAAUUGAUAGGCUAUAGUCCUACACACAUUCCUCUGUGAGUAAGCCCCACAAAUGAACUUGUUUCUGAGUACACAGGCAUAGGAUUGCAGUUGGGUACUCUGUACUACAUCAUUUUUCAAAAUAUGAAACACAGCAGUAUAUAAAAUGCAAUUAGUAAGAACAGUGAAAUCAGAAAUUCCACUGCAAUAUUUUUGGAGUUGCUAUGGGAUUAAGCAAUUUGGUUGAGGUAAUUACAUCUACCGUAUUUUUCGCCCUAUAGGAUGCACCGUCCCAUAAGGCUCAUCUAGUUUUUUUGGGGGGGGAAAUGAAGGGAAAAAAAUUUAUUUCCCCCCCAGGUGCGGGGCUGGGGCAGGGGAAGCCCGAGCUUCCCCCGACCCCCAACCCCAGCCCCCAGAACAGGCAGCUCUCCACAAGCCGUGGGAGCCUGGUGCCGGGCUCCCGCGCCUUGCGGAGAGCUGCGCGAAGCCUGGGCGUGCUGAGCUCAGCGCGCCCAGCCUUCGGCAUGCAGGCAACUCUCCGCAAGCCGUGGGAGCCCGCGCUGGGCUCCCACGGCUUACGGAGAUCUGCGCGAAGCCUGGAGAGCAAGAGGGGUCUAUGUGCACCGACCCCUCUCGCUCUCCAGGCUUCAGCGAAAGCCUGCAUUUGCCCCAUAGGACGCACACACAUUUCCCCUUCAUUUUUGGAGGGGAAAAAGUGCGUCCUAUGGGGUGAAAAAUACGGUAGAUAUACAGGACACACACUGCCUCUAUAAAGAAUUCUCUUUCCAAGUUACCUAGUCCUCUUAAGAGGAGUCACUCUAUUCUUCAUAUAGUUUACAUAUAAUAGAUGGCCAAAGCACAGCAUAGCUUCAUUUAAAUGUUAAUUCCAUGUAGAGUUCUUUUUGCAUGCUGCUAAGAAAACAUUACCCAUGGUAAAGGCCUUGAAUGUGAAUAACUACAGUGCACUCUCUACUGUAAGGGAUUAUCAAGUGCUGAUUCCUGCUUUGUGAGUCUGAUGUACUCCAGAUAAGUGAAAGACUAUGGUUGCAGUCCAAUGUAGAGUAAAGCACACACAGACUGCAAUACCAAACACACUUGAAUGAUAGAAUAAUGGAAUCAUAGACUUGGAAGGGACCCCCAUAGAUGAGGGUUUCUCAAACCUGGGUCUCCAGUCGCUAGGGAGUAAGUUCCAUUAAAGACAGUAAGGCCUACUGUGUUGUUAAAUAGAUUGGUUUCAGUUGGGCUAAGUGUGCAGAUAUAGGAACCUUUCUUAUAAUGAAUUCAACCAUUGUCCCAUCUAGCUCAGUACGGCUAACAUUGACUGGCAGUAGCUGUUCUGUGUUCCAGGCAGGGAUCUCACGCAGCCUGGGAUUGAAGUUGUGACCUUUUGUAUAUACAAAGCAGUUGCUCUACCAUUGAUCUACAGCCUUUCCUUGCAGCUCCUGUCAUUCCCACUUUCAGCCAAAAUAAUGUAUUGUGCCACGUUGUGGCAUGAAUGGGCAUUGAAUCCAGUCAGCUGUUAAGUCUUCCUAGUCUCCAUUCCUCAGGUCUAGAGAGUUCUAUGUCAGGUAAUGUUUUGUUGUAGUACAAAUGGAUGAAGCGACUGCUGGGAGAGGCAGGGGAUGGUUAUUCCAACACGAAUAACCAGUGAACAUUCCACAUGAUAUGGCUGGCCACCAGUGAGGCCAAAUACUGUGUUAGAUGUUCUUUUGGUUUGAUCCAGCCAGGUGAUCACUAUGAAGAAACUUCUACAGUGGUACCUCUGGUUAAGAACUUAAUUUGUUCUGGAGGUCCAUUCUUAGCCUGAAACUGUUCUUAACCUGAGGUACCACUUUAGCUAAUGGGGCCUCCUGCUGCUGCCGCGCCGCCGCUACGUGAUUUCUGUUCUCAUCCUGAAGCAAAGUUCUUAGCCCGAGGUACUACUUCCGGGUUAGCGGAGUCUGUAACCUGAAGCGUCUGUAACCUGAAGCGUCUGUAACCAGAGAUACCACUGUAUUUGUUUAAGGGAAAAUUAAUUAAGGGGGCUUUGAGUUUUUCAAACAGCAGCCUCCUCCAUGGCACACUGCAAACUCCUCUUGAAAUGGAGAGAACUUUCAAAUGCAGGAUUAUAGUGUGGCAUGAGAGUCUGCGGUUCAAAAGGGGGAAGGAGUCCAAUCUCCCCCUGAGGAUAUCUAAUCACUUGGACAUGUCUAAAGUGGCUAUUUCGCUCUGGGCCAAAGAGUGUGAAUAAUGAGCCCAAUUUCUAAUUUAACAGUGAAUCCCAAAGAGAUGCUUCUGCAAGCUAUGAAGUCAGCUUCAGAACGGACUAAAAAACUACGUCUCAGGAAUCCUAGGUGGGAAUCAAUCCUGUCCAAAUGACAGCCUCUAUGCUGCACCUCUGUGAGACGCUGCAUUUUUCCAUACGCUUUCAGUCUGAAUGACUUAUUUUUAGUUGAAAGGCAGCAAGCAACAGUGGAGAAAGGAAAGUCUCCAAGAGAGCACAAUAGGAGGAAGCAAUUCUACCAAGUGAAUUAUAUAGGAAAUAAAUAUGAUCAUGAUGGUUAUAUAGUUACACGGGCCACAUCAAUGACCAAGAAACUGACAGCAGUGUCUGGUUAGGAGAGCUAAUCACACAUAACAUUGAUUCAGAAAGCUUAGUGCUUAACAAAAACAUACUUUCGCCCCAUUACAAGUUCCAACCAGUUUGUGGAAUUGAUCGAUUCAGAACCUAAGCCAGAUUGCCCGCCAUCAUCCGAAACGCUCAAUUUGAGGGCCUCUGAAUUAUUUGCUUUCCCUUUCUGUAUUCUGACUUUGCCAAAUUGAGUGAUGGUAAUGUUUCUACCUGGAGUGUAAUACUACUUCAUUAAAAUCACGUGUGUUUUGCUGUGGAUUUCAAUAAGAGGUGGGCUGACUGCAACCUGAGAUUGAACACUAAAAACUGUACUUCAUCUAUCUUUCUCCUGGAAGAGAAUUUCAUUUGCACAUAGAGAAGGUGUAACAGUCCAGAAAAAGCGUGUGGCAAAUAGUUGUUGGGUUUUUUUUAAAGAGCCUUAAUAUCACUUCACAAUGCAUCAUUGUUUUAAACUUCUCCUAGCGUUGCUGUAGGACUGAGAUAAUUCAGGAUGAGGAGGGGAGGAGAAGAGGAGGAGGAGCAGGAGAAAGUAUCAGCCUCGUUUGCUGCUUAAGCACAGGGGGCUUGGAAGAGAUAAGACCGGGAUAGAAAAUGGAGAGAAAGUAUAACAGUUCGAUGCUAAAGGAGUACUUUUGGUCUCUGUGAAGCCUUUGCAUUAAUCAAAAUUGCAGGUCCUGUCUUGGGCAGCUCUCAAGUGAGAUUUUGAACUUCCCUGAGCUCUUCUUUAUUUCUGACCAUUCUCAUACUGCAUAAUUGCUAAAGCAACGCGAGCCCUUCAUUUUUAACACGCCUACUUGACAUUCUCUGUUUGUUUACUUGUUUCCCUUUAACAUCAAGCUAUCUGGAUGAAAUUCGGAUGCAUGUUCAGGAGGUAGAUCUACUUUUCAAAGCCGAGAUAUCAGCAUGAUGCCCCCCCACCUGGCAAUCACCCAUUUUGAAAGUGUGUGGGCAGAGAGGAAAGAGCAGAAAUAUGUGUGAUGUGUGAUCUGUUUUUGCAAUUGAGAUACUGGAAUGAAAAUUGGUUUUUCUCAUACAGGGCAUAAUUAUCCAGUUCAAGUGCAAAUAUCAGAUAAGCACAGCACCAGCCCAGUACAUUUUGCUGCCUGAACCAAGGAAAAAGAUGGUGCUCUGUUCCUUCCAAGUACUGAAGCCAACCACACUGUCAGCUGAACCUAACUUCCAACACAGGCAAUGGGACAGAAUCCUCAGCUACAAUAAACUAGUUCCUCCCAAGGCUUUGCCAAACGACAGAACCAGCUCUGAAUAACCAUCCCAACGUGGAUCUAUUUUUAAAGGGGAGGAGGAAGAUACAAUACCUGAAAGACCUCUCAAAUACGAUUUACUUGGACAAGGGUUUUCUCAGUAUGAGGACAAGCAUGCGUCCUAGAAGGGACAUGCGGAUGCAACAAAGAACUGCAAGGAGAAAAAAAGAACUCAUUGGAACCUUGUAAUGUGUUUGAUGGGGGAAGUCUUCUUUCUGGUCAGGUAAAAGUUGGUUUAACUGUCACUGGGAAGAGGUUAGACAUAGAACUCUCAGUAUGCAAAUGAAGGAUUGAAGAUGUGCACAUCCUGAUUGGUGGGUGCAGGUUUAGAAUUUUCAGUAAGUGAGUGUGAUUGGCUUGGGCUGGACUAGAGGGGUUGGAAGAAGUGGGUGCUAGUCAGUCAGGGUCAGUCUGUGUUGGCUGAUGUUUGUGGUGGACAGCCAAAAGAAGAAGGCAGCAGAGGAAGAUGGUCAAGGAAGAUGAAAGAAGACCCCCAGAGAAAGGCAGAGUGGGUUGAUGGCCACUUGAGGGCAUGAUGAUGGUCUGGAUGGGCUACUGGCUUGAUUCAGCAGGCUCUCAUGUUCUUAUGGUGGCUUAGAGUGCAGAGUUGAGGGGAGAAGCUGACCCCAGUGCUAAGAUGUGAGAGGCAGUUUGGAACGCUGGUCUCUAGUGUCUGGUAGAGGAGUCAGAGGAAGAUUCCACAACAGUGCAGCAAAAACAGACCUUCAAUAGGUUAGUAGUGGUUGGAAUGGGGUUUCAACAUGAAUCCUCAGUUCAUAGCUACCAACUUUUCCCUUUUUUAAAGGGAAAUUCCCUUAUUCCGAAUAGGAUUCCUCUCAAGAAAAGGGAAAGGUUGACAGCUAUGCCUCAGUUAUAGUGUUGGUGAGGCUUAACUGGGGCAGAGAAAAUAUAAGGGCAAUAAGGUAGAAAAGUUUGAAUAGGGUAACUGCUUCCUCAAAGCUGUCUGAGUUAGCAAUACUGUAGUACAAUGGUACCUCAGGUUACAGACGCUUCAGGUUACAGACUCCGCUAACCCAGAAAUAGUACCUUGGGUUAAGAACUUUCCUUCAGGAUGAGAACAGAAAUUGUGCGGUGGCAGCACGGCGGCAGCGGGAGGCCCCAUUAGCUAAAGUGAUACCUCAGGUUAAGAACAGUUUCAGGUUAAGAACGGACCUUCAGAAUGAAUUAAGUUCUUAACCCGAGGUACCACUGUAGUUUUAAAACAAGCUGUUGAUAUUUAAAGUGAAAGUAGCAAGUUAACAAAGUGUGCACUCAUUUAAAGACAAACAGUACUAUAUUAAAGGAACCAUAAGCUUCUGCAGUACAUAAUCUUGCAAUUAGUAAACUCCAAUAUCUUUGUUAAAUAUAGUAACUGAGUCUGACUAGCUUUAUCCCACAGCUACCAGGGUUAUUGGUAAAUUAAGGGUGCAAAAGUUAUAAGUGAUAUUAAAUGGUGGCAGCAGUAUGGGUUUAGGAAAAUCAUUGGAGUGGAAGUCGGGGUUUGCUUUUAUAGAAUGAGUAAGGAAAUAUCCCCACUUUCCCCAUGCCAUGCCCUGAUAAAUUGCUUGAAUACUUUCCUCAAACAUCAGGCUUAGUUGCUGUGUCCAAAACAGAACACUGAACUAAGUGGUCUCAUCUCAUCUAGCAAUGCAGUUCUUAUGCAAGGUAGUCUUUGAGCAGCAAACCAAGAACAACAGCUCGGCUAUUUCCUGCAGCUGCCACUCAAACCACCCCAUUGAAGUUUUACAAUAUGCUUCCUUGAGCUUUCUACUUAUGUCUACAUGUGUCACUUAUUCUCUUAGGGGGCUAGAGACAGAUUCAAUACAGAGAGGAAGCUAUUUUGUCUAUUUUUAAUUUUUAUAGAAACAACUCUCUGUAGCACAUCAUCAAUCAAUUGAACACUGAUAUUUAACCCUUGUCCCUCUCUGAUCUCUUGGCUGCCCUGUUUCUAAUAAUAAUAAUAAUAAUAAUAAUAAUAAUAAUAAUAAUAAAUUUUAUUUAUAUCCCGCCCUCCCCAGCCGAAGCUGGGCUCAGAGCGGCUAACAUCCUUUCUUCUCCUCCUCCAUCUGGGAAGCAAAGUUCCUAGAGCUAUGAGCCUGAGAUGGCACAAACUCCUUCUAUGAGGUGCUUGCCGUCAAAGAGCUUUGUUUCUCAGUGAGAUCAGGGGAUGGCGAAAACAGUAACCAGCAAGCAGGUAGAGAGUGAGCAAGGAGGGAUAAGAAUAAAACAUUAACAUUAAACAAUGUUGGUAUAGAAGAGACAGAUGUUGAACGACUAUAGCUCAAUGUUCAAGAACAUGCUUUUCAUGCAGAAGGUCCUUGGCUCAAUCCAUUUUUUAUGGUGGCAACCAUCUCUCCCCCAAUGUUCUGUAACAACACUUAAAUUCUGAAGUAUUGCGGAGAUACAAAAUGGUGGCCAAACUGCCAGCAAAACAACCUGCAGUCAUGGGGAGAAAAACUUAAGGGAGCAGAAAGAAGACGUCUUAUUCCACCUGUGAAUGGUAAUCCCCACUUCCCAAGACAUUGUUGGAGAAAUUCUCAUUCCUUGGAGAAAAUUGAGGAAAUGGUUCCCCAAAUUUCUCUGCCCACAGACAGGGUAGAGAAUUUUGAGGGGGCAUUGGCACUCAACUUCAGUUCCUAUUCACUUACCUAUGGAUAGGUAGACAGUGAACAAACCUGAUAGGUGAGAUGAUCAUGCCCUGGACCAGUCUUGAGUUUCCAUCUUGGAUGAGUGUGAUUUUUUGCCCUUUUACUGACAGUGAUGAUCAGUAGCGGCUCAUUAACUCUCGUCAGCAACUAAUCUAGGAGAAUGAACUUCUGAUCACAAAUUCUGUGCCCUGCCUGCACUAGUAUAAAAUCAACAGCUGCUCGGGCAAGAAAGUGGGAAAGAUUCUAUGUAAGCUUUUCUUACUUAAGUUCCAUUCUUAUUGCAUGAUAUACGGCCAAAACCAUUCAGCAGUCAACUGAUAUUCCUCAUGUGGGAAGCCAUAAAAAUUAAGUAAAGCCUUAAAUCGAUAAAUGGUUGGAUAUGAAUCCAUCGUAGUAACAGAGAAAGAAAGAGUAAGAUCCAUGGAUAUUUAUUCCUCAGCAUAAUAUGUUAUACCUCCAGGAAGGGGAUUUGUUACUUUGUUCAUCCAAGCCUACAUAUUUCUAAAAGGGAGAAUUCUGAAUGUCUUUUUAUUAUUACCCUUUCAUUGCAUUUCCAGACUGAAUAAAAGCACAAAUGAUUCUCAUUGACACUUUGACCCAUUAUUUCCUCCUAAAGGCAAUGAAGACCGCAGAAAAAGUCCAGCACCUGUAUCCAAGAACCCAUAUCUAAGUGCCUCUAAAUGUGAGUACCAUAUUUUAUAUACCCCUUAUGGUAAGAAUAUGACUAUCAAUAUGAAACUCCUUCUCUAGCUGCCAUCCAUUUCACCACAAUUCUAUUAAGAUGCAUUAUGUUUGCCAUAGCUUGUCCUCUAAAACAUGUUUCGUAAAUUUGGCAUCCUUACAAACAUAUCUCUCUACAAGAGGGGGUGAUUCCUGCCUGUUUGGAGGAGGCAGUGAUAAGACCGCUCCUUAAGAAACCACCCCUAGAUUCUGAAAACCGAAGUAACUACUGGCCAGUUGCUGUCUUCCCUUUUGGGGGGCACUGAGUGGCUGGUCAAUGUCCAGAUCCUGGCACUCUUGGAGGAGGCUACUUUUCUAGAUCCAUUUCAAUUAAGGUUUUAGCCUGGCUUUGGCACAGAAACUGCC